UGGGCCAUGUGGCAGCAGCAUCUCCACGCUGCACCUCCCAGCUGGAAUCUCUAAUUGAAUAUGUUGGCUGCUGCCCCUUUAUUUUGCUGGACGUGGCUGCACCUGCGUGAAGGCCUCAGCUCCCAGAAUAUAGCCUGGACCGUGGCAGCUAGAUGCUUUAAUGUUUGAGGGCCACUUGGAUCAUUCCAGGACGUGGCAGCUGCUCCUAAUUGAAUCAACCAAAAGCUUUUGAGAUGGGCCGUGAAGAUGUGAUGCCAUUUCCCACAAUGAAGCCCGCUUCUCAAGUGUAGUUUUAAGCAGCUUCAGCCCAUCAUGUGCCUCCAGACCGAGACAUAUUCUCCAUGAAUCAACGCAUUACUUAAAAGAAGAUGCAUCCCCCAGCUGGAAGUAAGUCGUGACAUGUUGCAUCAAAAGCUCAAUCCAUAACCUUUUUUUUUUAACUUCAGUAUUAGCCCCAAAACUUUUGAUAGGUAAAUCCUCCAACUUUUUGGCUAUCUGACCAACCUGCAUCUCCAAAUUCCUUAUAGCAGCAUUUGUGAUUUUCCGAGUAGAGAAAGGUGCCUAUAUGAAUUGUUGGAGGGUCUCCUCAAGCCUUGUGGUUUUGUCUCCUAAAGAGGGUUGUUGUGCCACUGUUGUUGCUGUUGUUGUGGUGGCCUAUUGAAUUGUCCACCAGUUUGCCCAAAUUGACCAUGUCAACAACUACUUGGAUGAGAUUUCCACCCUUGGUUGUAAUUGUUUAGACGAAACUAGUUGCCCAUGUAGUUGACUUCUUCAUUAAGAUUCUCAGACACUGAACAUUGGCCAUCGAUAUGGUCAUCACCACAUAGCUCACAAAGUUGUUGUUGUACGUGUGAGACAUUUUGAAACUCCUUUUAUGGCUGAGGGAACUUCUUUGUUAAGACCUCCAAUUGCUGAUUAAAAAUCUUGUUUUGAGCAACCAAGGCAUCAUAAGACUGCAAUUAGUGAACUCCCUUAGGUGGCGGGGCUCCUCUUUCAUUGUGCAUCUCACUGUCAUUGGUAGCCAUGUUUUCAAUUAAUGCAUAGGCCUUUUGGUGGAUCGAUUUGCCACAAAGAGAGUCAUCCUUCAGGCUUGACUUUAAUCCACCAAUCUUUUCAAAAACAGUUAAGGCCAUCAAACUGAUACUAGACCCUAAAUCAAUUAGCGCCUUCCCUAUUUUGUGGUUCCCAAUGUCGCAAGGAAUAGUGAAACUUCCUGGAUCUUUAACCUUAGGAGGCAUUGCCUUCUUCAGGAUCACAUUACAAUCACCCUGCACUUCAAUAGUGUCCUCCUCUAGAUAUUUCUUUCUUUUGAGGAGUUUCUUUAAAAACUUGGCAUAUUCAGGAAUUUGUUGCAAUGCCUCAGUCACGGGAAUUUUUAUCCCUAAUUUCUUGAAGAUUUCAUCAAAGCAACCUGAUUGCAUCUCUUUCUCUUACAUGGAACAUUCCUCGGGUUGCUGAAUACUUUUUCAAUUUUUUUAUUUUUUUCUUUUUUUUCUCAACCUCUUCUUUUUCUUUUUUUUCCUCUAUCACAAUAUUUUCUUUUUCCUCUCUCUCAACUUCAAUUUUUUUUUCUUUUCUCUCUUCUUCUUGGUGUGGUGGAAGAUGUGAUGGUUCAAACUGACAAUCUUAAAUUCCUGGUAGACUUUGUAGUGAUGGAGAUAGGUGAAGAUUUGGAGAUCCCUAUUAUUCUUGGAAGGCCAUACAUGAAGACGACCAAAGUAAUCAUCAAUGUUGAUGAAGGCACUAUAGCUCUCAAGGACCAAGAAGAGGAGGUGAUUUUCAAUUCCUUCAAUGCUGAGCAGCGGAUCCAAGUGAAGAAAACAAGUCUUAAAGCUGCACACAAAGAUGCACUCGAGACUAGUACCAAAGCUGUUAAAUCAAACAAGAAAGGUAAAAAGUGUUUUCUGUCACAGGUGAAUGAAGAAGAGAAAGAUAGCAAAGGAAAAAGUGUUUAUCAAGGUCCUUUGAAGGAACAUGAAGGGCUGAGACCAGGCUUCCCUGUGCAAUUCAACAAAAAGCUUUGGGUUGUUAAAGAACUUAGAGCUAAUGGUCUCAUAGAGAUUGUUUCUCCAAUUUCAAGGAGAACCGAAAAGGUUGAUGAAAACCAUUGGUAUGCAGAGGGAAAGGAUGACACCAAAAUAAAAGAUGUGACCUGCACUUAUUGGGUCAAGCUAGUGACGUUAAAGAAGCACUUGCUGAGAGGUAACCCAAUUUUUUAUUUAUUUAUUUAGUUGUGUGGUGUGGAUUUGAUUUUUCUUUUACAGUUAGGACAACAUCUACUGAGAGAUGCUAAGAGGAUUCAUAUAUCAGCAUCUACUGAUGGAUGCCAUGAUGAGAAAGACUGGGUCAAGCUAGUGACGUUAAAGAAGCACUUGCUGUGAGGCAAACCAAUUUUCUACACUUUUCCUUUUAAAUUUAUUUUUUAUUUUAUUUUAUUUUAUUUUAUUUUUAUUGUGCUUUGCUUGAAUGAAUAUAACUGCUUUGAUUCAACUAUGUUGUGUUUUUGUGAUGAGUACUGCUUUAUGAGAUUCUGGUGUGUCGAUUGAUGUCGAGAUGAUGCAUGAUGUCAUAAAAUAUAGGUGACGGCUCACAAUGUAUGAAACAGGUGCUUGAGAUUGAUAACGGUUUAAAAUACCGUUAUUUGUUAUGUGAUUUUGAUACUAAAAGCACCCUUUUUCACUUAGAAACUUGCUUGGACUCAUGAGUUUUCAAUAAAAUGUGUGAAUAAGAGAGUUGAGGUUGAUUUCAAUGGUUUCCUAACAAAUUCCUGUUGUUUUGACAGAGAUUGAGGUAAUACUAGAAGAAGAGGUGAAAAGCCAAGAAGAUAAAGCUCAGAGGAGGCUAAAAAGGCACCUGAAGGAGGGAAAACGCGAAGCCCGAGCGUCCAGGAGCAAACCAAGCGUCCAAAAUCGACGCUCGUUGCCCGAGCGGUGGCCCCUGACGCCCAGAUGGUGGAACUUCGUAGCUUGGGCAUCCAAAUCUGAUGCCCAGGCCUUACACGACCUUUAAUUCUCGCCCAGGCGUCCUCCCUACGACGCUUGAGCGUGAUUUCACGUGGAUCAGGCACUAUUUCUGCUGUAUUUUGAUUCUUUUGGAUCGGGCCACACUCUAGGACACUUCUGGCACUAUUUAAAGGACCCUAGGGCUCUAGGUUUUGCAUCCCUGGCAGAGAAGAGCAUAGCAAUACACUCUUAGCCAAUUCUUAGUCUUUCAUUCUCUUUCUUUCUUCCAUUGUUCAUACAAUUCCCCCAUGUUUAUGGGGAACUAAUUUCUAUUUAUUGUUGAGGAAUGAUGUAACCUUGUAAACUCUCAUGUAUUUGAAUUCAUUCUUAAUUUCAUAUGAUUUUUCAUUAAUUGUUAGAGUAAUUCAUUUGUUUUUAUUCUUGCUUAUAUAAUAGCAUCAUCUAUGAGUUGCAUGAGUGCUGGGAGGUUCCUUUCAAUUAAGGUUCUUGUUGAAUUACUCCUUACGAUUAUAUUGCUCAUGGAGGAGGGUAUGAGUCUUAGUCCUCUUAACCUCUUGAUCUUCACAUCUUUUUACCAAGAAUGCUAGGAAUUGUAUGAACUGGUAAUUAGGGAUAGGCUUAUUUACCGAGGGAUCGGGCUUAAGUGAUUUAGUGAGGGACGUUGACAUUAAUGCGUAAAGAAGAAUUCUUAUAUACAUGAGAGGGAACUUGGUGAAAUCUAACCCCAACAACAUAUCCAUCUCAUACAAAUCAAUCUCCGUUCAUCUAUGUGCUCCUUUGCCAUUGAUCAACUGCAUUUUAUUUUCUUUAUUAUUUUUGCACUCCAAACCCAUGAUCUCUUUUUAUUUUUACGUCUUAAUUAAUCAUGUUUUCACACAAUUGUUCAGCGUCGAGAGUCCUCUAGGAUACGAUACUUGGUCUUACCAUUUUAUAUUACUUGUGCGACUCAGUACACUUGCCGAUUUGCCCUAACAAGUUUUCGGCGCUGUAGCCAGGGACUCACGGUAUAAGCUAUUCUAUUUGUGUGAUUCUUGAUUAAUUUUGAUUUGAUUUGAUUUUAUUUUCUUAUUUGUUUAUUUUCCCAUUUUUAUUUUUCAAUCCCUAAUUUUAGUUUUAUUUUUGUGCUAACAAUAUUCUCUAGGGUUUUGUGCUUUGUUUAUGCAGGAUAGUGUUAGAACAAGAAGCAGCAAAAAUCCUAAACCUCUUCUUGAAGGGCUUGAAACCAGCAGGAGGCCAAGAGGAAAUAAAUUAUCUAGAGAACCUCCUCUAGAGAAAAUUUCAAUGGCUUCCCAGACUGGUGAAGGAGGUGCGAAGACCAAUGCUAAUAGGCGCAGCUUGGCAGAUUAUACAAUAGUUGUUGGCCCUCAUCAUUUUAACAACAUUGCAAAGCUAAGGGUUAACGUUGCAAAUAUGUAGAUGAAGUCUGCCCUGAUCCACCUUGUAAAGAGCAACCAAUUCAAUGGACUAUCUCAUGAAAGUCCAUAUGAGCACCUGACUACCUUCAAUGAGAUCUUCAACACGGUGAAAAUAAAUAGGGUGCCUGAUGAGGUUAUAAAAUUGAGCCUAUUCCCCUUUUUUCUUGGAGGUAAUGCUAAAUUAUGGUUGAACUCUUUUCCUAAAAACCGUUUCACUUUGUGGGAAGAUGUGGUUACAAAGUCCCUCAAUAAAUACUUCCCACAAUAAAAGAUCAACAAAGGGAAGCAGGAAAUCUCUUCUUUCAGACAAGGCAUGGAGGAAACCUUGGGUCAGGCAUGGGAUAGAUACAAAAUCCUGCUGAGAAAGACGCCUACCCAUGGUUUUCAUGAAGGAACAAUAGUCAUUCUUUUCCUUGGAGGUCUUAGGUCACACACUGAAUUGAUGUUGGAUGUCUCAGCUGAAGGCAAUAUCAAAUGCAAGACCCCUGAUGAGGCAUACGAAUUGAUCGAGAACAUAACUACCAAUGACAAUGAGAUGCACAGUGAAAGAGGGGCUCCAUCACAACCCAAAGGAGUUCUAAAUUUACAAUCCUAUGAUGCCUUGCUUGCUUAGAAUAAAAUUAUUACUCAAUAGCUGGAUAUCCUGACAAAGAAGCUCACUCAACCACAAAAAGAAUUUUAGAAUGUGGCCCAGGUACAACAACAACUCUAUGAGCUAUUGGUGGUGACCAUGUUAAUGGUCAAUGUGCAGUUCCAGAGAACCUUAAUGAGGAAGUCAACUACAUGGGCAACCAGAACCAAUUCCGCCCCAAUAAUUACAAUCAAGGGUAAACAGGUGGGCAAUUUGGGCAAAUGGGUGGGCAAUGCAACAGGCCACCAUAAUAGUAGCAGCAACAGUGGUAGCAACAACCCUCUUUAACUGACAGAACCACCAGGCUGGAAGAAACCCUCCAACAAUUCAUGUAGGCAGCUAUGUCAAAUGAAAAAAGCACAAAUGCUGCUAUCAGAAACUUGGAAGUACAGGUGGGUCAAUUAGAACAACAGUUGAAGGAGACACCUUUUAAAGACUUUGAGACUAAUACUAAAGUUAACCCCAAAGAAGAAUGUAAGGCUAUUGCAAGUGUGGAAAAUGAGAGGGAUAAAGAAAGAAAAAAAGAGGAGAGUGAGAGAAAAGAGAAAGAAAAAGAGGACAGAGAGGCAAGAGAAAAAAAAUGAGAUUGAAAAAGAAGAGGGAGAAGAAAAAAAUUUGAUGGGAGAAGAAGAAGAAACGAAAAAAGAAAAAAAUGAAAAAUUUGAAGAAAAUCAUCUUGAGGAAUACCCCACAGGAGAAAAAAAGAAGCAAGCAGCAUGCCUUCGUGAGAUCUCCAAGGAAUUAGGGAUAAAAGUUCCUGUGACAGCGGCUUUGCAACAAAUCCUUGAAUAUGCUAACUUUUUGCAAAAGCUUCUCAAAAGAAAAUAUUAUUCAAAGGAGAUACAGGGAGAUUGCAGUGUGAUCUUACAAAAGGCACUUCCUCCCAAGGUGGCAGACCCAGGAAGUUUCACUAUCCCCUACACCAUUAGAAACCAUAAAAUAGGGAAAGCCUUAAUUGAUUUAGGAUCCAGUAUCAAUCUAAUGCCCUUGAUUGUUCUAAAAAAGAUUGGUGAUUUGGAAGUUAAGCCAGCAAGGAUGUCUCUUCUCAUGGCAGAUGGAUCCCCUAAAAGACCCUAUGGUGUGUGAAAGAUGUGAUGGUGCAAAUCAACAACUUGAGAUUCCUGGUGGACUUUGUGGUAUUAGAAAUGGAAGAAAAUGCGGAGAUCCCUAUUAUUCUUGGAAGGCCAUUCAUGAAGACGACCAAGGUAACCAUCAAUGUUGAUGAAGGUACCAUAGCCCUCAAAGACCAAGAAGAGGAGGUGAUCUUCAAUGCCUACAACACUGGACAGCAAGCCUAGGAAAAGAAGACCAGUCUCAAAGCUUCAUUUAAAGAUGCACCCGGGACUGAAACCUAAGCUGCUAAAAAGAAAGGUAAAGGAAAGGAUGACACCACAUGGUAAAUUUGUAUUCUGUUAUUGUCCAAAUCAGAUACAAAUUUGUAUUCUGUUAUUGUCCAAACUUCAUUUGGCUGGUACUACCUCCAUGGUUACAUCAUAGGAUCAAUAGGUAACCAUCAAUGUUUGAUUAUGGUUAAAUGAAAUGAAAAAUUAAUUUGUGUGACAUUGUGAUAGCAGAGUGAAACACCUGUGAGCUAAGUAAAACACUUUUGAGUGCUUGAGUGAUACACUUUUGAAUGCUUGAGUGAAACACCUUCCUUGGUGAGGAAUAGUUCUUUGAAUUUCUGAUUUCAUCCUUGCUUGGUUGAUUGAUAAUUCUUAAGAAUAGCAUCUGUUGAAAAUGUAUGAGCAUCAUAUGAUUUUGAUUGAAUUAAGGCAUAUGCACAUCUUGAUUGAGAUCUUUAUGCUGAAUUGAUAAAAGUGAUACCUUGUCUUGGAAAGAAAAGUUUAUGAAAUAUGUUGAGUCAUUGUAGUGAUUGUUCUGAAAAGCUGAGUUACAUUCUGUUUUGCUUGAGGACAAGCAAAGUUCUAAGUUUGGGGUUGUGAUAACGGUUUAAAACACUGUUAUUUGUAAUGUGAUUUUGAUACUAAAAGAACCCUUUUUUACUUAGAAACUUGCUUGGACUCAUACUUUUUCAAUAAAUUGUGUGAAUAAGAGAGUUGAGGUUGAUUUUAAUAAUUUUAUGACUAAUUCCCCUUGUUUUGACAGAGAUUGAAGUAAUACUGGAAGCAGAGAUGAAGAGCCUAGAAGAUGGAGCUCGAAAGGACCUAAAGAAGCACCAGAAGGAGGGACAACACGAAGCCCGGGCGCCUAGAAUGAAGGCUCAAGCGAGCAUAAUUGGCGUCUGCUGCCCGGGCGCCCUCCCUGACCGCCUAGGCGACGGGGUCUCGAAGCUUGGGCGGCCAAACUCGAAUCCCAGGACUUACAUGAGGUGCUCUCACCGCCCGGGCAGUCUCCUUGGACGCCUGAGCGUCAACUUUCGUGGAUCAGGCAAUGUUUCUGCUCUAUUUUGACUAUAUGGGACCGGACCCUGUUUUUGCACGUUUCUCACCUUGUUUAAAGGAUCCUAGGGCUCUAGGUUUUGUAUCUCCUGUAAAGAGAAGCAUAAGAAUACACUCUUUUCCCAAUUCUUAGGCUUUCUUUCUCAUUCUCUUCUAUUGUUCAUAGAGUUCCUCCAUGUCUAUGGGGAACUAAUUUCUAUUUGUUGUUGGGGGAUAAUGUAAACUUGUAAACUUGUAUUGAUUCUUAUUUUCAUAUGCUUUUCCAUUAAUUGUUAGAGUAAUUCAUUUGUUUCAAUGCUUGUUGUGUUUAACUCAUUCAUUAGCAUGAUUUAUGAAUUGCAUGAGUGUCGGGAGGUUCCUUAGAAUUCAGGUUCUUGUUGAAUUACUCCUAAGGGUUAUAUUGCUUAGGGAUGAGGGUAUAAGUUUUGGUCGUCUUACUCUCUUGAUGUUCACAUCUUAUUACCAGGAAUCUAGGAAUUGUAUGAACUAGUAAUUUGGGACAAGCUUAUUUGCUGAGGGAUCGGGUUUAGGUAAUUUAGUGAGUGACGUUGGCAUUAAUGCAUAAAGAAGAAUUCUUAUAUACAUAAGAGGGAACUUGGUGAAAUCUAACCCCAACAACAUGUUACCAAUAAGGAGCAUUGGUAAAUCUUGAAGAAAUUAGUUUUGAUUAUGCUACAAGAAGUUCUACUUGAAGGAAUGUUUAAAAGCACUUUGUAGAAAAUAAGUGUAAUAGGAAAGUCUUAAAAUUUAGUUAAACUUGUAUUUUUACUGAAAUAAUCGAUUAUGUUAAGCAAUAAUCGAUUAUCAAGAGUCUUUCAGGAGUAAUCGAUUAUCACUUAACAUAAUCGAUUAUCACAUUUUGAUAAAACCUGUAACGGACUUGAAUAAUCGAUUAUCACUUACAAUAAUUGAUUAUUAGUGGCAGUUGGGACUUAUCCUUUGAAACACUUUCUUAGUUGAACUAUUAAUCACUUUUUAUAGUGAUUAACGACUGGACAUAGAUUCUAUUAAAUCGAACCAGUAUAAAAAUUACUCGUGUAAUUUUUCUACUCCCUGCACUCGCUAUUUUUAUUUGCACAUCAAUUGUUCGAUAAAUUGUCUCUUAGAAAUUUAUUUUAUAAAUUGACCAUUUUAAUACUAAAAAGUUGACCGAACAUGCUUUCCGCUAACUUAAGUUUUAUUUCGCUGCGUUAUACUUUAUCUCCGAACGAUACCGAUUGUUCACCAACACAACAUACCCAUCUCAUAUUAAUCGACAUUCGUCCAUCUCUGUGCUCUUUUACUAUUGAUCAAUUACAUUCAUAUUUAAUUUUAUGUUUUUGCAUUCAAACCCAAUGAUCUCUUUUUAUUUUACUUAAGUCUUAAUUAAUCUUGCUAUCACACGACUGUUUAGCACCGAGAGUCCUUUGGGAUAUGAUACUUGGUCUUACCAUUUUAUAUUACUUGUGCUACUCAGUACACUUGCCGAUUUGUCCCAACAAGUUUUUGGCACUGUUGUCGGGGACUCACAGUUUAAGUUAUUCUAUUUGUGUGAUUCUUGAUUAAUUUUGACUUUAUUUUUAUUUUAUUUUUAUUUUUCCUAUCUUUAAUUUUUAAAUUUUUAUUUUUUUUUUUAAUUUGUGUUUUAUUCUUUUUAUUUUUGUUUUUGUACUAACUGUGUUUUCUAAGAUUUUUGUUUAGUCUAUGCAGGAUGCAAUUCUACCAAAGUAAUCUCAACCACUGGUGGGAACUGAUAAUGGUCUAAAAAUCGUUAUUUUUAUACUUGAAUUUGAUAUCAAAACACACCCUUUAUGGCUUAGAAUGAGCUUAUAAUCAAGUAAAACACUUAGUUGAGUAAUAUGAGAGUCAAAAGCUGUUUUUAGAGAUAUUAUGCUUGUUUUUGCAUUGUUUUGCAAGGUUUUGAUGAGAGUUGAAGAUGGAAGGGAAGUAGGGAGGACUUAGACUCAAGAAAAGAGGAAAAAAGGAAAAAAAGAAGAGUCAAUUUCACCACUCAGCGGUAAAUCCCAGCGUUGAGCGCCAGUUUCGUGGGGGGAAUCUACCAUUUCUCGCUCAAGCGGUGACGCUGAGCGUCCAAGCGAUUAGAGGCAAACCGCUGAGCGGUAAGAUGGAUCGCUGAGCGGUCAUGCGAUUAGAGGGAAACCGCUGAGUGGUCAAUUUAGGCGCUGAGGGGUGCAAUGCUGGGCUUGGGCUUAAAUUCUGUUACUUUUAUGCGUUAUAAAUAGACCAACAGCGAUUCUCAAAGUAAUCUUUUGGCACGCAGAGACGUCCACCGCAGUUCUACACUCCUUUGAGGCGGUUUCUUGGAUGCUUAGGUUCCAAUUUAUCAAAUCUAGGGUUUACUCUUCCAUUCUUUCAUUUAAUUCCAUCUAGUUUCCCCUUGUCUAUGGUGAACUAAACCCUUUGUUGUUGGGGAAAAAUGUAAUCUUUUUAAACUCUCUUAUAUUGAAAUUCUUAUUUUAUUUAUAUGCUUAUAUUAUCAAUUGUUGGGUUUCUUAUCUAUGCUUAAUGCUUCUAUCGUUUAACUCAUUCGGUAAGAAGAUAGUUACCUUUGUCGAUACAGGAAUGUACGGGGAAGUCAUGAACUGAUAGGCGAUUCCUUGAUUAAGCAAUACUGCCUAGAGAUAGGGGUAGGACGAUCAAUUAUAUUUUGCUUAUGUACUUUAAUGCAUUAUUAAUUACUCAAGGAGACUAGAGAUAGUAAACUAGUAAUUAAUAGUAGGCUCUUUUCGCCAUGGGAUUGGGUUGAGAGUAGAUUAGAAAGUUUGCAUAACAAUUAGAUAAUAAAGCGAAUUAAAUAAGAAAAGUAGAUAUAAGAGGGCGGAUAAGAUGAAAUUGUAAACCCCAACAACUCCAUUCAUUCAUAUGUUUUCUUUGCUAAUUGAUUCACUUGCAUUUUCUUGUUUAUUUCCGUUUUGCAUUCACACUACAAGAUUAUUUCUUUUCAAGUCUUAUAAGAUCAAUUUACAUGAAAGAUAAGGCCUAAGAGUUCUUUGGGAAAACGAUACUCGGACUUACCGUUUAUAUAUUACUUGAUAACAAUCUGGUACACUUGCAAGGGGCUAAACAAGUUUUUGGCGCUGUUGUCCGGGGACUCGUGGUUUAACUUUUAUAGUAGUGUAAAAUGAUUAAAUUUGACUUGAUUUUUAUGUAUAUUUUUAUGUUUGUUCUAUUAAAUGUUUUCUAGGGUUUUGUGUCUAACAUUUGAAGAAUGCAGUAUGGACAAGAAUUUGACUAUAUGGGCACUCAAUUCUAUCAAGAUGAUUUCAACCACUGGUGGGAACCUCAUUCAAACAUAUAUCAAAGCCAAUUUGGGCAACAAUCCUCUUUGCUAAGAGAAACGUUGGGGGAAGCCGAAUAACGUCUUUGGCAGAAACAAUCCUCUUUGCAAAAAGAAACGUUGGGGGAAGCUGAACAACAUUUAUGGCAGCAAUAACUUUCUUUACUAACAGAGACGUGGGAGGAUGAUCAACAACUAUGUCAUCAGGUAGCUAAUUUGACGGAACAAGUCAAGAGCCUUAAUGAAAAGUUCGACAAAUUUUUCAAGAAGUACGAUUUCAAGAGCUAUGAAGUUACCUUCAGGAAUUUGGAGACACAAAUUGAUAAGGUUGUUGAUGAGGAGAAGAUAGAGAGAGAUGGGGAAAAGAUAGAGGAGAAAGAAACAGAAAGGUUGAGUAAGGGAGAGAAAGAUGAGGAGAAAGAAAAAGAAGUGGUUGAGAGAAAAGAAAAAAAGAAAAAAGUGAGAAAAUAAAAAAGAAGAAAUCAAGGAAAAAUAAAAAGAGAAAGCUGAGGGAGGAGAAAAGUGAGAAAAAGAGGAAGAGAGGAAAGGAGAAAAGAUCAUAUGAAAAACCCCUUCUUCAUUCAAAAAAAUAUCAUAGGAAGGGAAAGAAAGUCAAGUGCUUUAUGGAAAUCUUCAAGGAAUUGGAGAUUAAAGUUCCUAUGGUUGAAACAUGGAAACAUGUGCUUGGUGUUAUCAACUUUAUGAAGAAAUUCAGAAGGAAGAAGAAAAAGAAAAGAAUACCAAGCAAGGGGAAUAUCAACACCUACUGAUAGGUGUUUGAACUCUACUGGGUCAAGCUACUGACAUAAAAAGAGUGCUUACUAGGAGGCACCCUAGUGAUCCAAGAACAAUAUUUUUGUACUCAAAAUUUUUAAAUCUUGGUGAUGUAAUCAUGAACAAAUUUUUAAAUUUUUGUGUAUUGGGUAGCUUUUACUGAGGGAAACUAAAAAAUUUUAGGUACUCACUGACGGGUACAGGAAGGUACACCUACUGAAAGGUGUUAGGAGGCACUUACUGAUGAGUGCUAGAAGGUUUGGGUCCGGCUCGUGACGUUAAACAAGAGCUACCUAGGAGGCAACCUGUUUACUAUUUUCUUGUUUUUAACUCUAUUCUAAUGCAUGAUUUGAAUAUUGCAUAUAAGAGGGGAACGACAUAUAAAAUUGAAAGUUGAAAUCAAUUCCUAAAGGUUUAAUCACGCAAAGGCAAUUGAUGGAGGUUGAAAAACAGUUAUUUUCAUAUGUCAUUUUAGACCUAAUUACGCCCUUUACUACUUGGAAUGAGCUUAGAAUCAAGCAAAACUCAAUAAAUGAGUCUGUAGAGAGUCAAAAGCUGUUUUUAGCGAUAUUAUGCUUGUUUUGCAUUGUUUUGCAGCUAUUUUGAGGAAAUGAAGAAUGGAGUUGAAGAUAAAGGUCGUAGACUCAAGAAAAGAGAAGAAAAUCGAAGAUUUGAAGAGUCGACGCACUGCCUGGCGGCAACUUACACCGUUGGGCGGUCCAGGGCGAGGAGUAGGCACUGGCGUUGGCGCUGUGCGGUUUUGAGGUAAACCGUCGGGCAGUGACCCUUGCCGUUGGGCGGUUUGGAGGUUUAUGGGAAACCGCCGGGCGGUACACUUAUUUCGUCGGGCGGUGGUCCGUUGGGCUUGGGCCUGUUUUCUGCUGCGCUCCUCACCUAUAAAUACCCAUAUUGCGAGUUCAGAGUCAUUCUUUUGACAGGGGAGGACGUCCAGACCUAAUUUUGCUCUCUGGAGAGGAACUCUUGGAUGCUUAGGCUCCUUUACAUCUUUUCUAGGGUUUGCUUUUCCAUUCUUCUUCCAUUUUUCAUCUAGUUUCACCAUGAAAAUGGUGAACUAAACCCUAUUGUUGUUGGGGGAAACAAUGUAAUCUUUUGAUACUAUCUUUUAUUGAAACUCAUGAUUAUUUAUAUGGUUUCCAUAUGUUUGAUUGUUAAUUGUUGGGUUCUCAUUUAUGCUUAAUGCCUUUAUCGUUUAACUCAUUCGAUAACUGUUGUUUGUCUUUAUUGAUACGGGGACGUACAAUAAUGUCAUGAACUGGUGAGUAAUUCCUUGAUUUUGCAAUACCACCUAGGGAUAGGGGUAGGACGAUCAAUUGCGUUUAACUUCUGCUCUAUAAUGCUGUAUUAAUUGCUAGCGGAGGCUAGGGAUAGCAAGCCAGUAGUUAAUAUUAGGCUUUUUUCGUCAAGGGAUCGGGUUAAGGGUAGGCUAAGAAAGUUGUAUGAUAAUUAAUUAAUCAAACUAAUAAUUCAAGAGGAGUAGAUAAGAGAGAGCGGAUAAUGAUGAAAUUGUAAACCCCCAACAACUCCAUUCAUCCAUUGUUCUCUUCUUGUCAUUUGAAUCAAUCUCUUUUGCAUGUUAAUAUUUUUGUUCUCAAAUCAAAUUAAUUAUUUUUAUUUUCAAGUCUUAUUAUUUUAAUUCACGUGAACGAGAAAGCCUUUCGAGUCUCUUAGGAAGAACGAUAUUGGGUUUUACCAAUUAUAUUACUUGAACGAUUUGGUACACUUGCCAAUCCGUCAACAGCAAUCAAAGAAGAAAUUUUUUUUUAACGUUCACCGCUAAGCGGUGGUGGCACAGACCCAACACGGGCUUUUUAAAAGCUCAGCAUUUUUGGGGUUUCUGCACUUUGAAAUUUCUUCUCUGGAGUUCGCCCAAGCGGUCUGUACGAACCCUAGCAUCUCUUUUUCACUUUCAAGUGCUUUCCAAAGAGUUUUCUCCACCUUUUCCAUCACUCAUUCACAAAAAUUUCAUCUUUCAACCAUUCCAUUGUCAAAAGUUUGGGGUUUUUGGUGAGAGCUUUGUAUUGGGAGGAAUUUGUCAUGAUUAAACAGAGUCUUGCAAGCAUUUAGAGGAUCUCCACUCAAGUAAGUCAUGCAAUUUCAUUCUUAGGGUUUCUAAAUUGAAAUUUAAUGAAGAACAUGUGUAGGAACAUGAGAAGUUAGGGUUUUUGAUUUCUAUGCAUGAUUUGAUGAAAUAGAAACCAUUUGAACCGAUUAAACUACAUAAAUUUGGUCUGGAAUUGAGAAAUCUAUUAUAGAGUGGAGAUUAGUGUAUUAAGGAAGGAGUUUUUGAAAAACCGUUUACGCCACUGUUGAGCGGUCCAUUUGAUCGCUAAGCGGUGGGUGUCAGAUUUUGAGUGAUUGCUUGAUUUCCUGAUUUAGGGACGCUGAGGGGUCCUGUUCUUCCCUCAAGCGUUGGACAGUGCUUAAUUAGGAGUCUAAUUGAUGAUUUACUAACCUCUAAUGAUGAAUAUAUGAGGUUUUAUGAAACUUUAUUUGAUGUAGGGAUGUCGUCAUCAUCAAGGAGAGUGAAGACUAUGGGAAACAAAAGGAAAGAGCCGGAGAGGCCGAGAAGAUUCUAUUCUCCUAGGUUUCUUUCCAAGAAACAUGAGGAACAUUAUGUUACUGUGCAGGAAAGAAGAUUGUUGAUGGUGAGGAAGGUUAUUUUCAUCCUAGACCUAGCUCCUCAGUUUGGAUUGGAGAUUGAGAGAAGGAACUGGGAGAAACUGGCCACAUAUCCUGCACCAGCUAGUAUUGAACUUACGAAGGAGUUCUACACAAAUGCCCUAUCCAGAGGAGGAGUGGAAAUGGAUAGGUUUACUAGCUAUGUUAGGGGAAAGAUUGUUCGCUAUGACCCCGACACCAUCAAUAGCUUCUUAGGCACUGAGUGGCCAGGUGAGCAGUGCCAGUAUGCAGCAUAUACAGGGGAGUUUAGAGAUCAUGAGGAUAUUAAGAGGGUUAUGUGUGUCCCUGGAGGACAUUUUCAGAGGAACCCAAAUGGAGUGCCCGUCAACAUCAAGAGGGCAGAUCUGACUCCUCUGAUAUCACCAUGCACAGAAUAAUCUUCAUGUACUGUAUGCUGAGGCAAAUGCAUGUGAAUGUUGGUGAGGUAAUCGCCAACGAGAUUCAGAGUUGCGCUACUACUAUGAGUAGCAGGAUGUCGAUGGGACAUCCUUCCCUGAUUACCUUUUUGUGUCAACAGGCUGGGGUGGACACUUCUAUUCCACCAUACGAGAGGCCUCGGAAGGCUAUAGAUGCCUCCUAUUAUCGAUAGUUCUGUAGAGGAGACGAGGCAGCUGGAGCAGUACCUAGGAAACAUCCUAAGAGAGGAGCAACCCAAUAGGAGGAUCCACCUGCACAACAUGCUAAGCCGUUCCAGAUGAGGGACAUGUAUAUGUCCAUGAUGGAGGCCAGAUUGGAGUCUAUCCGCAGGGGGCAGAUAGCUACUGCUGAAAUGAUAGUAGGGCUAUAUGACACACCACCGGUGCACAGGUGGACUAUGGAUGAGUUCCAUAGUGCUAUGGCUUGGCCUUAGGAGCAGGCACAGGGUAACGGAUCUGGAGCAGUUGGAGCGCCAGGCAUGGAUAAGGAUGAUGAGGAGGAUGACUUCGAGGAUGCGGAAGCUGGAGAUUAGGAGGACUCAGAUGAUGACAUGAGUUGAGAGGGAAUCUACUGAUGGAUGCCAGUGCUUAGGACAGGGGUUUUAUCUUGCUCUUUUGUACUUUGAAUUUUUAGACUAGGUUGAAUUCUGUUGAGUAGUGUAGGUGUCUGUGCUUGGCUUGAACACUGUUUCUGACAAUGGUUUGACUUGAUGUUAUUGCAUGAUGAGUUUACUUGAUGAUGAUUGGAAGUGGAUGAUGAUUGAGAUUGUAUUGCAUGCUGAUAUACAAGUGAAUGGUUCACUAGUUAUGUGAACAGAUGUGUGAUGAUUUAUGAUUGUGGUUAUGAUGCUAAGCAGGGUGAUGAGUCAAUAUUUUAUUGAUUUCACUUAGUUUAUUGUGCUAGAAUUAAUCAGGGAAUUGUGCUUAAUUCUCUGGUAUUUUCCCGUUUUUUCUAAUUAUGCUUAAUUUGACCGGAAAUUCUAAUUUUAAUUCAUUUGAAUUUUUUGAGCUAAUUAUUUGCAUUAUUAUUUUCAGGGAAAAAUUUGGAAACACAAUUUGGGACAUUUGGAGGACAACAAAUAAAUUCAAGACUCUCUGCAUGGAAAAUUUAGAAUUAGUUAUAUUUUAAUUUAGUAGUUUGGAAUUAAUCAAUGUGUAAUUUAAAAGUCUAGUUUUUUAGACAACCUUUGCACAUUAGGCCAUUAAAAAUAUGUUGGGGCCCAAAUUUUGGUGACACAUGUCCUACCUAGGGUUUUGCAAAGGGGUGGACCCCAUCCUCUCAUUUAGUGACACAUGGCCUCUUAGAAAGAUGGCAACCGUCACCCAUUUUAGAGAGCACAUUCUUCGCUGGAAAAAAGGGGAGUGAAAGCAGUUGGAACGUUAGCUUGCUGUAACGUUUUUUUUUCAUUUGGCUUUGAAGCAAUGUUUUGGCAUUUUGAUGAUAGAUGAAUAAAAAGAGGUGCAGCGUUUUCUUUUGCUUUUGGGAGUUGCUAUUUGAAUUAAAGAGGUGAAAAGAGAGCUUCCAUCCAUCACGUUAAAGCAUUGAAGAAGUUAUUCCCUUUCUUUUCCUUAUAGUUGCAGAUUUUUUUUAAUUAAAGUGACAUUGUCUUUCUUUUGAAUGAAUGUUUAUAUGCUGUUGGAAGGAAUGAAAGGGUGCAGAUUUUUAUUUUCCAUUUAAUGAAUGAAUGCUACCUUUAUUUAGCAUAAAUUAGCAAUUAUGUUGCAUUGAGAUGUCUCACGGUGACAGCAAGUUGAAAGGGGAUUUCUCUCCAUUUGUUUUUCAUUAAAGUGAGGGCUUGAUUAGGAUUAGAUGGAAGAGCUUGUGGUUCAGCACGUUACUUUUUAUUUUUUUUUAUUUGGUGAAUGAAGUAGCUUGAUUUGGAUUCAACAUUCAUGCCUUAGGCAGUGAUGAUGUUUUUUGUUUUUUUUAAUUGGAAUUAAUUAGAAGCAAGUAGCGUUUGUGGCGUUAUGCAGGGGAAGCAUCAUCUUCAUUUUUUAUUUUAGAUAACAUUAUACGCUGAUUUCAAUCUUGGAAAGUUGUGCAUUCAAUUCCUUUGCUGCAGGGAUUGGCUUUUUAGAUGCUUCACGGUAACUAAUGUUUUUGGAGAAAAAAAAUAUUUUCAUUAAUUGCUUGAAGAAAGUGUUACGGCUGAAGGAAAAUCAUGCUUUUGUUUUUGGGAAUUUUAAUUAUGAAAAACGUUUUUUUGGUUUUUAGCAUUUAGUUAACACUCUUUAGCAUUAAAGUUUUAUAUCCACAAUAUGCAUUUUAUCUUUUAGUUCAAGCUUUGCAUUUUAAUCGCUUUAAAUGUGUUUGGAUAUUUGUUUAGUCGGGUUUAAUAUUUCCUUUUACUUUAAUGCUUUUAAGUAUGUUUGGUUGGAUUUAAUUUUUAUUUUAAUUUAGUUAUUUACAUUAGCAAAAUUACUUUAAAACCUCCCCUUUUUGUUUGACUUAAUUCUCGAACCACAAAAAUUGGUCCUUGGGAGACGACCUAGGGGUCAUUCCCUAGCUAUACUGCAUUUCUAAUAUGCAAUCAAAUUUGUUUGGGCGGCGACACCCAUCACAGGGUGUAUGAAUGAUGUGUGAGGAAGCAUAGUUGUGUGAGGUUUUGAACUCCAGAGUGUUCAUUGAUAUAUGUGUUGUUCAUAUCGAAGCAUGAAUGAUAUUGCCUAAGUCUUUAAAAUUGGUUGAAUUACAUGCUUAUGUUAUAUGAUCAAGGCCAUCUUUGGAAUCCUUACUUAGCCAAAUUUUCGCCCAAAGAGAUUGAAAUUGUGUGAUUUACCCUUUUUGAAUCUUAGCCUUAAACAGGAUGAAAACCCUUGCUUUNAAAAUAUUUACCUUGAGUUGGGUUGAGAAUAAUUGUAUGGUAUUAAAAAGGUUCAAGUUUGGGGUUGUUUGGGGGAAAUUUGAAAGGCAAAAGAAAGACAUUGAGCUCAAGUGUUGAAUAAAAGAAAAAGCAUGAGAAAAGAAAAAGAAGAAAAGAAAGAGCAUGAAAGAUAAGCUCAAUGUAAAAAUAAAAGAAAAGGGAAGAAGUUGGGAAGAAGUGAGAUUGGUUAAGAAGAGAGUUUUGCUUGAACUAUGGAUGUUAAAAGAGCUCUCUUGACUCAAGGAUUUUGUGUUCCAGAAAAACCAAUUUUUCUUGUUAGCCCAGCCUCAUUAUAAGCUUUGAAAAAUUCCUUAUGAUGGCAUUUGUAUGUGAGAAUAUUGAUUGUACUAGAUGAAGGGAAAUUUUAUUUUAUGUGAUAUGUGAUUAAUAGAGAGAUGGUACCCUCUUAAACACUUGAGUGAUUAAGUGAAACACUUGCUUAGAGAGAAUUGAUAAAUUCCAUGCUUACAUCUAUGCUUAGUUGAUUGAUCAUUCAUAAGUAAAACAUCUGUUGGAAAAUAUAAGAUCACGUGAACUAAAUUGAAUUGAAAGCAUGUAUGCAUCUUGAUAAGAUUCCACUGAAAAUCUGAAUUGUGUAAUGACUUGUUGUGAGAAGAAUGAAUUUUGAGAUUGUUGAACUACUUUGAUGGAAAAGUGGAAAGUCAAGUUUUGUCUUGUUUGCUUGAGGACAAGCAAAGUUCUAAGUUUGGGGUUGUGAUAACAGUUUAAAAACCGUUAUUUUUAUACUUGAAUUUGAUAUCAAAACACAACCUUUAUGGCUUAGAAUGAGCUUAUAAUAAAGUAAAACACUGAGUUGAGUCAUGUGAGAGUCAAAAGCUGUUUUUGAGAUAUUAUGCUUGUUUUUGCAGGGUUUUGAUGAGAAUUGAAGAUGGAAGUGAAGUAGGGAGUACUUAGACACAAGAAAAGAGGAAAAAGGAAGAAAAGAAGAGUCAAGUUCACCGCUCAGCGGCAAAUCCCAACGCCAGUUUCGUGGGGGAAUCCACUGUUUCUCGCUCAAGCGGUGCUGUUGAGCGUCCAGGCAAUUAGAGGCAAACCGUUGAGCGGUGAGAUGGACCGCUGAGCGGUCAGGCGAUUAGAGGGAAAUCGUUGAGCGGUCAAUUUAGGCGCUGAGCGAUGCAAUGUUGGGCUUGGGUUUAAAUUCGCUUACUUUUAUGCGCUAUAAAUAGACCAAGUGCGAUUCUCAAAGUAAUCUUUUGGCAGGCAGAGAUGUCCAGAGCAAUUCUACACUCCUUGCAGGCGGUUUCUUGGAUGCUUAGGCUCCAAUUUAUCAAAUCUUGGGUUUACUCUUCCAUUCUUUCAUUUAAUUCCAUCUAGUUUCACCAUGUCUAUGGUGAAGUAAACCCUUUGUUGUUAGGGAACAAUGUAAUCUUUCGAAACUCUCUUAUAUUGAAAUUCUUAUUUUAUUCAUAUGCUUAUUUUAUCAAUUGUUGGGUUUCUUAUCUAUGCUUAAUGCUUCUAUCGUUUAACUCAUUCGGUAAGAAGAUAUUUGCCUUUGUCGAUACGAGAACGUACGGAGAAGUCAUGAACUGAUAGGAGAUUCCUUGAUUAACCAAUAUUGCCUAGAGAUAGGGGUAGGAUGAUCAUUUGUAUUUUGCUUAUGUACUUUAAUGCAUUAUUAAUUACUCAGGGAGAUUAGAGAUAGUAAACUAGUAAUUAAUAGUAGGCUCUUUUCGCUAAGGGAUUGGGUUUAGAGUAGAUCAGAAAGUUUGCAUGGAAAUUAGAUAAUAAAGCGAAUUAAAUAAGAAAAGUAGAUAUAAGAGGGCGGAUAAGAUGAAAGUGUAAACUCCAACAACUCCAUUCAUUCAUAUCUUUUCUUUGCCAAUUGAUUCAUUUGCAUUUGCAUGUUUAUUUCCGUUUUGCAUUCACACUACAAGAUUAUUUCUUUUCAAGUCUUAUAAGAUCAAUUUACAUGAAAGAUAAGGCCUAAGAGUCCUUUGGGAAAACGAUACUCGGACUUACCAUUUACAUAUUACUUGAUAACGAUUUGGUACACUUGUCAGGGGCUUAACAGGAACCUCAGUCAAGCAUGAACCAAUGUCAAUUUGGGCAAGUUGGUGGACUAUUCCAUAGACCACCAUAAGCUAACAGUACUACAAAGCUUGAGGAGGCUCUUAAGCAGUUCAAGCAGGAAUCUCUCACAAUUCGGGAAAGCACUCAAGCAACAGCUAAGAGGAUGGAGGCACAUUGUAGGUUCAUAAUUCAGAAGCUAGAUUAUAUCAAGGACAACAUGAACCCAGAGAGAAAUGCAAUGAUGUUGUCAACAAAAGUGAUGAGGUUUUAGAUGAGAGAAAAGUAGAGGAAAAAAAAAGAAGAAAUGUUGAGCGAAAAAGAAAAAGAAGGAAAGAGAGGGGAUGAGAGAAAAAUAGAGAGAGAAGAAGAAGAAGAAAGUUUGAGUGAGAAAGAGAAAGAGGUAGAAAAGAAAGAAGAUGAGAGAGAAGAAAAAGAAAGGUUGAGUGAAAAACAAGAAGAUGAAGUAGAAAGAGGAAAAGAAGAGAGUGAGAGAAAAGAAGAGAUAAAAAUUGAGGUUGAGAGAAAAGAAGAGAGGAAGAAUGUGGAAGAAGAAAGAAAAGAAAAAGAAGAGGUUGAGGGAGAAAACGUAAAAGUUGAAAAAAUUCCUCUUUACCCCAAGGAGUGUUCUAAGGAAGAAAAAGAGAAUGAAGAAAAGAAAAAGGGAGAGAAGGAGGAUGAAAGGAAAAAAGAAAAAACAUGUGAAAAACCUUUGCCUCACCCAAAGAAACACCACAGGAAGAAAGAGGAGAAACAGUUCCAUCAUUUCAUGGGAGUCUUCAAGAAAUUAGGGAUUAAAAUUCCUGUGAUUGGAACACUGCAUCAAGUUCCUACUUAUAUCGAAUUCCUGAAAAAAUUCAACAAAAACAAAAAGAAUAUCCAGAAAAGGGAAUGUUUGAGGAAUAGGGCAAAUAUAGUGGGUCAAGCUAGUGAUGUUAAAGAAUCGCUUGUUGGGAGGCAACCCAGUUUCUAAAAUUUUUUUUAUCUUUUAUUUUUUUUUCUUUUUAAUUUAUUAUUUGUGUGAUAUGGAUUUGAAUUGCUUUUGUGUUUUUGAGUUCUUUUUUUUAGGUUAUAUGUUGCUUUUGAUGGUAGUAAUGACAACAUCUACUGAUGGAUGCUUCCACAACAUCUACUGAUGGAUGUUGCCAUGAUGAGGAUAAUGAAUGACAACUUCUAUUGAUGGAUGCUACUACGGAAGGAGACAGUGACUAGACAUCUACUGAUGGAUAUUAGGUGAUUAGGCAUCGACUGAUGGAUGCCAAUGAAGAUGAGAAAGAUUGGUAUCCACUGAGGGAUACCAAUGAAGAUAAGAAAUACUAGCAUCUACUAAUGGAUGCUAUGUGAUUAGACAUCUACUAAUGGAUGUUACUAAUAAGAUCUAUUAAUGGAUGCUAUGAUGAUGAAGACUAGGUCAAGCUAGUGAUGUUAAAGAAGCACUUACUGGGAGGCAACCUAGUUUUCUAAACUUUUCCUUUUAAAUUGGUUAUUUUUUAUUUUUUGUUACUAUGCUCAGCUUGAAUGAAUCUAACUGCUUUGUUCAACUAUGUUGUGUUUUUGUGAUGAAUAUUGCUUUGUGAGAUUUUGGUGUUUGAUUGAUCUUGAGAUGAUGCAUGAUGUGAUAAUAUAUAGGUGAUGGCUCACAAUGUGUGAAACAGAUGCUUGAGAUAAAAUUUAAUAGAGAUACUGAGCAGGAUGUUUCUUUGAAUUCUAGGCUUGAGAGUUUACCUAUGUGAGUUUUGGGCUUCAGAGUUGUUUGUAAGUAAUUGCUAUUACUUUGAAAGCAUGAAUGAUUUUGCCCAAAUUUUCUGUGAUUGAACCUCUUGUGUGCAGGUUUCAUAUGCUCAAGGUAAUUUUUUUAUCCCUUAUUCUCUUAUCCUUUACAUAAUUUUUUCCCACUGAAAAGAGAACAAUUUGUUCUAACCUUUUAACCUUGAGCCUUAUGCAUGUUUUGAAAAACCUUUUGAAAAUCUUUACCUUGAGUUAAGUUGAGAACAGUUGAUGAGGUACUAAUAAAGGUUCAAGUUUGGGGUUGCUACGUAACAACCCACUUCUCUAGGCAAUGAGCAAAAAGAAGAAAAAGCCAGUGAAAAGCAAAGGCAAAAGAAAAAGAAAAUAAAACGAAAAGAAAAACUUCACUGCAAGGGAAAGCUAGGAAAAAACGAGUGUUAACACCUUGGAGAGUGUACCAGAUCGUAUCAAGUAUGAAUAGACAAUAAAUCCAGAUAUCGUUUUCCAACGGACUCUUAGGCCUAGACGUUCAUGUGAAUAGAUUUUAUAAGACUUGAAUGAAAAUUAAGUUUUGAGUUUGUAAUGCAAAAACUUAAAUUAAACAUGCAAAUGCAAAAGCUGAAUCAAUUGACAGAUAAAGAUAUGGGUAAAUGGAGUUGCUGGGGUUUACAUUUUCAUCUUGACCCACCCUCCUAUAUCUACUAUUCCUAUUAUAUUCAACUUUAUUAUCAAUGUUCAUGCAACUUUCUAAUUUACUCUAAACUCGAUCUCUCGGAGAAAAGAGCCUAUUACCAUAAUUACUAGUUUACUAUCUCUAGUCUCCUUAGUAAUUACUAAUGCAUUAAUGAUAGAAGCUUAAAGCAAUUGACCAUCCUAUUCCUAUCUCUAGGCAAUAUUUCAUAAUCAAGAGAAUUCUUCUCAGUUCUAGAUUUCCCCAUACGUCAAUGUAUCGACAAAAUCAAAGAUCAUGACACUGAAUGAGUUAAACAAUGCAAGCUUUAAAGUACAGAGAAGAAAACUCAAACUAUUGAUAAUACAAGUAUAUGAAUCAAAUAAGAAUUUCGAUAUAAGAGAGUUUCAAAAGGAUUACAUCGUUCCCCAACAACAAAAGGAUUUAGUUCACCAUUGACAUGGUGAAACUAUAUGAAUUUAAUGGAAAGAAUGAAAGAAUAAACCUUAGAAUUGGGGAAUUGGAGCCUUAGCGUCCAAAAUCCGCCUCCAAGGAGUGUAAAAGGUAUUCUGUCAUAUUUCCCUGUCAAAAGAUUACCCUAGAAUUGUUCUGAGGGUUUAUUUAUAAGCUAUGAAAAAUUACAGAAUUUUUGCCCAAGCCCAACUACAACGCUCAACGUUGGUUUCACCGCUCAGCGGUAGAUGCGACACUCCAGUAGGACGCUCAACUUUAACGCUCAGGCGUCCUGCCAUAUUGAAUUGAAGAUUCCAGCGCUCAGCGGUGAUUCUGGCGCUCAACGGUAGGUGCGACGCUUUCUUUUGUCCCUCAGCGCUGGCAGUUAAGCGUAUAACAAUGGAGACUUUCACGAAGCUGGCACUCAGUGCUGGAAUUGGCACAAAGCGGUGGCUGCAAUUUUUCCUUUUCACUUUUUUUCAUCCUUUCUUGAGUCCAACUCCUUCCUUCUUCACCAUCCAUCCUUCAAUUCUCAUUAAAUCCUGUCAAAACAAUGUAAAACCAAGCAUAAUAUCUCUAAAACCACCUUUGACUGUCUUGUAACCUAACUUAAGUGUUUUGCAUGAUUUUAAGCCCAUUCUAAGUCAUAAAGGUUGUGUUUUGAUAUCAAUUUCAAGUAUAAAAAUAAUAGUUUUUAGACCGUUAUCACAACCCCAAACUUAGAACUUUUCUUGUCCUCAAGCAAACAAAACUUAGCUUUCCACCUAUCAUUAAAAUUGUUCAACACAUUCAAAACUCAUUCUUCCAAAACAAGUAAUUACUCAAUUCAGUUUUUCAAUGGAAUCUCAUCAAGAUGCACACAUGCUUCAAUUCAUUCUAACUCACAUAAUGUUCACAUAAUCACAUACUCUUCCACAGAUGUUAUCCUUAUGAAUGAUCAGUCAACUAAGCACAGAUGUAAUCAUGAAUUUCAUAAAUCCUUUCCAGGAAAAGUGUUUCACUCAAUCACUCAAGUGUUUCAGGAGGUCACUCCUUUCCUCUACUAUCCCUAUGUCACACAUAACAAAAUUGCCUUUCAUCUCUUACAAUCAACAUUCUUACACACAAAUGUCAUCAUAAGGACUUUUGAAGGCUUAUAAUGAGGUUGGGCUAACAAGAAAAAUUGUUUUUUCUAGAUCACAAAAUCCUUAGGUUAAGAGAGUUAUUUAACAUCCAUAGUUCAAGCACCAACUCUCUUUCAACCAAUCUACUCAUUCCCAACUUUUCCCUUUUUCUUUUACUUUUGCAUUGAGCUCAUCUUUCAUGCUUUUCUUUUCUUUUCUUUUCUAUCUUCUCUCAUGCUUUUUCAGUCAACAUAUUAGCUCCAUGCUUUUCUUUUGCCUUUCUAUUCUCCCAACAACCCCAAACUUGAACCUUUAUUAAUAGCAUUCAAUUAUUCUCAACUCAACUCAAGGUAAAGAUUUUUCUCAAGAAGGUUUUCAAAGUGUUUCAGGAUAAGGUUCAAAAAGGGUAUAAAACAUUGUUAUCUUUACUUUGGGUGUUAAUUUGGCUAAAUAAGGGCUUCCAAAAAUGGCCUUGAUCAUAUGACACAAACAUGUAAUUCAAUCAAUCAUAAAGACUCAGGCAAAAUCAUUCAUGCUCUCAAAUGAAUAACAAUUAUAUCAAUCAAGAACUCUGGAGCCCAAGACCUCACACAACUAUGCUCCCUCAACAACUCAAAUACCAAUCAUACACCCUGCUUAGCAUCAUCAUCACAAUCAUAACUCAUCAUGCAUCUGUUCACACAGCUUGUGAAUAAUUCACCUGUAUAAAAGCAUGUAAAGCAAUCUCAAUUAUCAUCCACAUUAAAAAUCAUCAAGCACACUCAUCAUCCAAUCAACAAGUCAAACCAUUAUCAAAUAAGGUGUUCAAGCAAGUUCCAUAAAACCUACACUACUCAACAGAAUUCAACUGAUUCUAAAAGUUCGAAUUACAAAGGAAAAAGAAAAAUAAAACCCUGUUCCACUACAACCGGCAUCCAUCAGUAAAUGCCAUAUCAACCCAUGUUGUCAUCAGAGUCAUCAUCAUCUCCAGCCUCUACAUCCUCGAAGUCAUCAUCCUCCUCAUCAUCAUCCAUGACUGGAGCUUCAGCUGCUUGUUGACGGAUUGGCAAGCGUAGUAAAUCGUUCAAGUAAUAUAAUUGGUAAAACCCAAUGUCGUUCUUCCCAAGAGACUCGAAAGGCUUUCUCGUUCACGUGAAUUAAAAUAAUAUGACUUGAAAAUAAAAAUUAAUAAAUUGGGUAAGAGAAUAAAAUAUGAACAUGUAAAAGAGAUUGAUUCAAAUGACAAGAAGAAAACAAUGGAUGAAUAGAGUUGUUGGGGGUUUACAAUUUCAUCUCAAUCCGCUCUCUCUUAUCUACUCCUCUUGAAUUAUUAGCUUGAUUAAUUAAUUGUCAUGCAACUUUCUUAGCCUACCCUUAACCCGAUCCCUCGGCGAAAAGAGCCUAAUAUUAAUUACUGGCUUGUGCUGACGGAUUGGCAAGUGUACCAAAUCGUACAAGUAAUAUAAAUGGUAAGACCAAGUAUCGUUUUCCCAAGAGACUUGUAUGGCUUCCUCGUUCGCGUGAAUUAAAAUAAUAAGACUUGAGAAAUUAAAAUUUAUAAAUUGGGUUUGAGAGCAAAAAUAUUAACAUGCAAAAUAAAUGUUGAUUCAAUUGACAAGUGAAAACAAUGGAUGGAUGGAUGUUGUUGGGUACUAACAAUUUCAUCUAUUCCACUCUCUCUUACAUACUACCCUUGAUUAUUAGAAUGAUUCCAUUGUUAUGCGACUUUCUUAGCCUCCCCUUAACCCGAUCCCUUGGCGAAAAGGGCCUAAUAUCAAUUACCGGCUUGCUAUCCCUAGCCUCCCCUAGUAAUUAAUACCGCAUUAUAAACAGAUGUUAGCACAAUUGAUCGUCCUACCCCUAUCCCUAGGUGGUAUUGCAGAAUCAAGAGAUUACUCACCAGUUCAUGUCAUUACCGCACGUCCCCAUGUCAAUAACGACAAACAACGAUAUACCGAAUGAGUUAAACGGUAAAAGCUUUAAGCACAAAUGAUAACCCAACAAGAAUCAAUCAAAACAUAUGGAGACCAUAUAAAUAAUCAAUAGUUUCAAUAAGAGAGAGUAUCAAAAGAUUACAUUGAAUUCCCCAACAACAAUAGGGUUUAGUUCACCAUAGACAUGGUGAAACUAGAUGACAAAUGGAAGAAGAAUGAAAGAGCAAACCCUAGAAAAGAUGAAAAGAAGCCUAAGCAUCCAAGAGAUCCUCUCCAGAGAGCAAAAUUAGGUCUGGUCGUCUUCCCUUGUCAAAAGAAUGACUCUGAAUUCGUAGUAGGGGUAUUUAUAGGUGAGGAGCGCGUCAAAAUCAGGCCCAAGUCCAGAGUGCCACUGCCGGUCGGUUCAAGUGUGCCGCCCGACGGUUUCCCAUAACCUGCCGCCACCGCCCGGCGGUUUUCCUCGCCACCGCCCGGCGGCAAUCGCCAACGCCCGGCGGUUUCUCUCAGCUUGAAAUGCUGCCAACUCCUCGUCCUGGACCGCCCGGCGGUUUAAGUGUGCCACCGGGCGGUACGUCGACUCUUCAAAACUUCAUUUUUCUGUUCUUUUCUUGAGUCAACGACCUGUAUCUUCAACUCCAUUCUUCACUUUUCUCAAAUUAGCUUCGAAACAAUGCAAAACAAGCAUAAAAUCGCUAAAAAUAGCUUUUGACUCUCUCCAGACUCAUUUAUUGAGUUUUGCUUGAUUCUAAGCUCGUUCCGAGUAAUAAAGGGUGUAAUUUGGUCCAAAUUGACAUAUGAAAAUCACUGUUUUUCAACCUUCAUCAACACCCCAAACUUAGAAUUUUGCUUGUCCUCAAGCAAAACAAAACAAAACCAUCACACAAAACAAAACUUGGAUUUAUACUGUGUCAUCCAAUGCCUCAACAAUUCCAAGGUACAUGACAAAAUCACUCAAAUCAAUAUCUUUAGUGAAAUCCAAAAUAAGAUGCAUGCAUGCUUUCAAUCCAGAGAUUACACAAUAGAUGUUAUACACUAUGAAUGAUCAAUCCACUAAGCAAAAUUGUACUCAUGAAAUUUAACAAUUCAUACCAAGCAAGUGUUUCACUCAAUCACUCAAGUGUUUAAGGUGACACUCCAACUCUCUAUUGUUCACAAGUCACAUGAAACAAAAUUGUCAUUCAUCUCAAACAGUCAACAUCCUUACAUGCAAAUGCCAUCAAAAGGACUUUUCCAAUGCUUGUAUUGAGGUUGGGCUAACAAGAAAGAAUUGGUUUUUCUAGAAUGCAAAAUCCUUGAGUCAAGAGAGCUAUUAAAAUAUUCAACAAUUAAGCACAACUCUCUUCCUUACCAAUCUCUCUCAUUCCCAUCUUUUCCCUUUUCUUUUCCAUCGAGCUCUUCUUCAUGCUUUUCUUCUUUUCUUUUCUUUGUCUCGUGAAUUUUUCUUUUCACAACAUUUGAGCUCAAUGCUUUUUCACUUGCUUUUUCAACUUUCCCCCAACAACCCCAAACUUGAACCUUUUUAUCUCGUACAAUUAAGCUCAUCCCAACUCAAGGUAAAGAAUUUCAAAACAAGGGUUCACACACUGUUUAAGGCUAAGGUUCAAAAAGGGUAAAAUAAUUUUUUUAAGCAUUGUGGGUGAAAAUUUGGCUAGAGAAGGGUUUUCAAAAAUGGCCUUGAUCAUAUGACAUUCACAUGCAAUUCAAUCGAUCAUCAAGAUUAAGGCAAUAUCAUCCAUGUUUUCCUGUGAACAAUACAUGCAACAAUAAAAACUCUGGAGCUCAAAAUCUUACACACAUGCUUCCUCACACAAUUCAUUCAUACACCAUGCCUAGCAUCAUGACCACAAUCAUAAAUUCAUCACCCAUCUAUUUCCUGGAUAUCAACAUGCAUUACAACUAAAUUUUCUUUCACAUCAAAUAAUCAUCAAAAAGAUCCAUCAUGCACAUCAGUUAGUCAAACAUUUUCAGAACAAGUAAUAAAGCCAAGAAUACACACCAACAUUAAAAUUCAACCUAUUCUAGGAAUUUAAAAUGCCUGAGUGUUAGAAGAAAUUCUAGGUUGCCUCCUAGUAGCGCUUGUUUAACGUCGCGAGCCUGACCCAAACCUCAUGGAUCCACCAACAUCAUGACUAAGGCAAAUUGCUCCACAUCUCCUCCUACAUAGUGUUUGAGUCUUUGGCCAUUCACGAUCCAUCUCCUCUACUGAUCAUCUUCAGUUGAAGAUUCUAAUUCCACAGCUCCACUCUGGAAUACAUGUUUCACCAUAAAAGGUCCUGACCAUUUUGACUUCAGCUUCCCUGGGAAUAACUUUAGCCGCGAGUUGAAUAGGAGAACUAAAUCUCCUGGAUGGAAAGUUCUUUUCAUAAGUUUCUUGUCAUGAUAAAACUUCACCUUAUCUUUGUAAGUCUUGGAUGACUCGUAUGCAUGCAACCGCAUUUCUUCGAGUUCUAGCAGCUGGUUGCCUCGUUUCCAUUGAGCCUUGGCAGGAUCAAAAUUCAAAAAUUUCAAUGCCCACCAAGCUUUGUGUUCCAAUUCAACUGGGAAAUGACAUGUUUUUCCAUAGACUAACUGAAAAGGGGAUAACCCCAUAGAAGUCUUCAUGGCAGUUCUAUAUGCCCAAAGAGCAUCAUCUAACUUCUACGACCAAUCUCUUCUUGAAAAGGUGACAGUCUUUUCUAAAAUUCUUUUGAUUUCCCGGUUAGAAACUUCAGCUUGGCCAUUCGUCUGCGGAUGAUAAGGUGCAGCUACCUUGUGUUUCACCCCAUAAUGCUUAAGUACCUUAGCUAGCUGAGCAUUGCAAAAAUGAGAUCCCCCAUUACUAAUGAGGAUCUUGGGGGUGCAAAAACGCAAAAAGAUUUGUCUUUUUAAGAAUUUGAUCACAGUAUUAGCAUCAUUCUUAGGACAUGCUAAAGCUUCAACCCAUUUACUCACAUAGUCAACAGCCACCAAAAUAUAUUCAUUAUUGAAUGACGGAGGAAAUGGUCCCAUAAAAUCAAUACCCCAGCAAUCAAAGACUUCAACUUCCGAAAUUCCGUGUAGUGGCAUUUCAUGCCUCCUUGAGAUGGUUCCAGUCCUCUGGCACUUGUCACAUCUUCGAGCAUGAUUAUGAGCAUCUUUAAACAAAGUCGGCCAAUAAAAUCCUGCUUGCAGAAUUUUUGCAGCAGUGCGUUCUCCAUUAUAAUGACCCCCGUAAGGAGAAUUAUGACAAUGCCACAGAAUAUCUUCUGCUUCUGCUUCAGUAACACAUCUUCUCAACAAAUUAUUCGCUCCUAUCUUGAACAAGUACGGGUCAUCCCAGAUGAAUUGCUUGGCGUCAUAUAAAAACUUCUUUUUCUGCUGCCAAGUAAGUCCUUCUGGGAUAACUCCUGCGGCUUUAAAAUUGGGUGAAUCAGCGAACCAAGGUCUUUGCUGAAUAUACAAAAUAGUUUCAUCUGAGAAUGAUUCCCGGAUUUCUUUUUCCUUACUUGUUACUUCCUCAUUGACUAACCGGGACAGAUGAUCAGCAACUACAUUCUCACUCCCCUUUUUAUCACGAAUUUCAACGUCAAAUUCUUGUAACAAUAGUACCCAUCUAAUCAAUCUUGGCUUUGAAUCAGGUUUCUUCAGUAAAUAUUUUAUAGUUGCAUGAUCUAUAUAAAUGAUCACCUUAGAUCCAACCAGAUAUGAUCUAAAUUUCUCCAAUGAAUACACUAUAGCCAAGAAUUCCUUUUCUGUGGUGGCAUAAUUCAAUUGAGCCUCAUUCAGUACUUUGCUAGCAUAAUAAACAGCCCAUAUGGCAUAAUCGCUAGCAUCACACAUAAGUUCAAACUCUUUAUUCCAAUCAGGCGCCACCAUUGCGGGGGCAGAAAUCAGUCUCUGCUUCAAACUUUCAAAAGCUUGCAAACAUUCCGGACCCAUAACAAAUGGUGUCUCUUUAGCGAGUAAAUUGCUCAAAGGCUUUGCAACCUUUGAGAAAUCCUUGAUAAACCGUCGAUAAAAUCCUGCAUGACCAAGCAAGCUUCGGACUCCCUUAACAUUUGUUGGUGGUGGGAGUUUUUCGAUUACCUCAACCUUUGCUUUAUCAACUUCAAUCCCCUUGGCUGAAAUUUUAUGGCCAAGUACAAUACCUUCUGUCACCAUAAAAUGACAUUUUUCCCAGUUCAACACAAGAUUUGUUUGAACACAUCGAUUGAAAACUGCAUCCAAAUUAGACAAGCAUGUUUGAAAAGUAUCUCCAAUAACUGAAAAAUCAUCCAUAAAGACCUCAAUGCUCUUUUCCAUAAAAUCAGCAAAGAUUGCUUGCAUGCAUCUUUGAAAAGUAGCAGGGGCAUUACAUAAUCCAAAUGGCAUUUUUCGGUAGGCAAAAACACCAAAGGGACAGGUAAAUGUUGUUUUCUCUUAGUCAUCAGGGUCUACCACUAUUUGAUUGUAUCCCGAAUAUCCAUCAAGAAAGUAAUAAUAGGCUUGCCUUGCUAAUCUUUCCAACAUCUGGUCCAUAAAGGGUAGAGGAAAAUGAUCUUUCCAGGUGACUGUAUUUAAUCUCCUAUAGUCAAUGCACAUUCGCCAACCCGUAACUGUCCUUGUUGGAAUAAGCUCAUUUUUUUCAUUGUGAAUAACAGUCAUUCCUCCUUUCUUUGGAACUACUUGAACUGGGCUUACCCAUUUGCUAUCAGAGAUUGGAUAAAUAAUUCCUGCUUCUAGCAACUUUAAUACCUCCUUUCUCACAACUUCUUUCAUGACAGGAUUAAGCCUCCUUUGCGGUUUGGCCACAGGCUUAUAAUCAUCUUCCAUUAGAAUUCUGUGCAUACAAUAAGUUGGACUUAUACCGUUUAGAUCAGUAAUUGACCAACCGAUGGCUCCUUUAUUCUCCUUAAGAACUCCCACUAAUCUUCUUUCUUCCUCUUGAGAUAAUGAAGCACUAAUAAUGACAGGUUUUUUUUUCGGUGAUCUUCCGGGAACACAUAUUUCAGGUGUGAAGGCAGUUCCUUCAAUUCAAUCUUAUUAUUUGGAGCUUUUUUUGUACAGUCCAUCUGUUCGAAGGGCACUUUUUCUGGUGAAACUUCUUUCGCCGCCUCCAGUUCCUGUAUACAUCUCUGAUGGGCUAUAUCCUCUUCCUCAUUCAGAUCCUCACAUUCAUUUGUUAAAGUUCUUUCUAACAUGGAGACAUUACAAACUCUAUUCUCUUAAUUCAUACAGAUUUCCUCCACCAAGUCCAGCUGAAAGCAUGAAUUGUCGUCCUUGGGAUGUGACAUAGCUUGGAACACAUCAAAGUUCACCUCUUCAUCUUGUACCUGGACCUUAAGCUUCCCUUUUUCCACAUCAAUGACAAUUCUAGCGGUUUUCAUAAAUGGUCGUCCAAAAAUUAGAGGUGCAUCCCCAUUUUCUCCCAUCUCCAUAACAACAAAAUCCACUGGAAACAAGAACUUAUCAACCUUGACAAUCACAUCUUCAGCAAUCCCGAAAGGGUAUUUGAGGGACCUGUCAGCUAAUUGGAGAACCAUUCUUGUUUGUUUGAGCUCUACUCCUUUUAACUUUUUAAACAUAGUUAGAGGCAUCAAAUUUAUGUUGGCUCCAAGAUCAAUCAAGGCUUUUCCAACCUCUAGUUCGCCAAUAGCACAAGGAAUAGUGAAGCUUCCAGGAUCAGAGGAUUUAUGAGGUAAUGACCGUUGAAUGAUAGCACUGCAAUUCCCUUCUACCUCAAUUGUCUCUUUCUCAGCAUAUGCCCUCUUUUUCGUAAUGAUUUCCUUUAAAAACUUCGAAUAAGAUGGUAUUUGGUGGAUGGCUUCGGAGAAAGGAAUGGUUAUUUCUAAUUUCUUAAAAAUUUUCAUGAAACGAUCAAAUUGUCGCUGUUUAUCUUUUCUGGAGGAUAUUUUUGGGUAAGGUAGAGGUUUUCAUACUCCUUCUCUUUGAGCUUCUCAUCUUCAUCUUUCUUUUUCUCGUUCCAAAGAUUUUUUUCUUCCUUUUCUUCCCUCUGAUUCUUUUCUUCUUCUAUACUUCUUUUAUCUUCAAUCUCUCUUUCUUUUACAAUUCUUCCAUUUCUAGUAACAAUUUCAUAAGCUUCCUCCCCCUAUCAUCCUUCAUGCAUUCAUUAGUACAAACACUUGUCUUCAUAAUUCUCUGGAAAGUUUCUUCAGAUUAUGUACUUCUUUGAAUAGGGUUAAAGUGGAACAAUUGUGGAGACUAUGAAGUUUCUAUGCAUGUCUGUGAUAACUCAGCAAGUCUUCUUGUUAUUUCCUCCAGCUGCUAUGUGAUCAUAUUAUCUUGAACCAUUGAAAGUUCCUGAAUAACAUCGUUCUGCAUGUCAUGUGCUUCUUCGCUUUUCGCCACAAGUUCUAUCAAAUUAUAGGCUUAAUCUUCAGUCUUUUUAUUUAUACUUCCUCCCGCUAAAGCGUCUAUCACCAUUUUCGACUGGCGGCACAGGCCUCCCAAGAAAAUAAGCACAUAUGAAGCCUUGUCAAAUCCAUGAACCGGAGUCUUCCUAAGCUAGCCUUUAAACCUAUUCCAUGCCCUUCCAAAAGUUUCUUCUCUUCCCUGCUUGAAUGAGGAAAUCUCUAGCCUUCCUUGAUUGAUCCUUGCAAGCGAAAAAUAUUUAGAAAUGAAUUGAUGUCCCACAGCUUCCCAAGUCCUGAAGGUUCCCUCCGGGAAGGAACUCAACCAGUCUUUUGCAUUUCCUCUAAGAGAGAAAGGAAACAAACUGAGUUUAAUGCUAUCAUCUGACACUCCAAUUAUCCUCACUGUGUUGCAUAUUUCACCAAAGACUGUCAAAUGCGUGUAAGGACUCUCAUUUGACAACCCAUGGAAUUGGUUGCUCUGAACUAACUAGAUAAGUGUCGGACUCAUCACCAUGCUGGUUGUGUUGUCUGUUGGCACUGCGAUGCUGUUAAAAUUUAAGGGACCAACUGUGUUAGCUGUGUCCCCUAGAGUGCGUCUGGGAGGAGGUUGAUUGGCCACUCCUCAAGAUUUGGUUCAACGGUCUCAGGUGGAGUAACUUCUGGAGAAAGAGAUUUUCACAAAAAGGGCGUCUCUUUCUCCUCUCGUAUGGUAGACCUUCUAGCAAAGGUUGUUGGUUUUUCCUACUUCUAGUAUGUAUUGUCUCCUGCAUGCACAAGAAACACACCCUAAAAGCACUUUUAAAGAAAAAGACAAAACGCAAUAAAAGAAAAAUAAACAAAAAUAAUUACAAUCAAGUCAAAUUCAAUCAAUUCACACUACUAGAAAAAUAAACCUCGAGUCCCCGGCAACGGCGCCAAAAAAUUGUUGACGGAUUGGCAAGUGUACCAAAUCGUACAAGUAAUAUAAAUGGUAAGACCAAGUAAUGUUUUACCAAGAGACUCAUAUGGCUUCCUCGUUCGCGUGAAUUAAAAUAAUAAGACUUGAGAAAUUAAAAUUUAUAAAUUGGGUUUGAGAGCAAAAAUAUUAACAUGCAAAAUAAAUGUUGAUUCAAUUGACAAGUGAAAACAAUGGAUGGAUGAAUGUUGUUGGGUACUAACAAUUUCAUCUACUCCACUCUCUUACAUACUACCCUUGAUUAUUAGAUUGAUUCAAUUGUUAUGCGACUUUCUUAGCCUCCCCUUAACCCGAUCCCUCGGCGAAAAGGGCCUAAUAUCAAUUACCGGCUUGCUAUCCCUAGCCUCCCCUAGUAAUUAAUACCACAUUAUAAACAGAAGUUAGCGCAAUUNNUCGUCCUACCCCUAUCCCUAGGUGGUAUUGCAGAAUCAAGAGAUUACUCACCAGUUCAUGUCAUUACCNCACGUCCCCAUGUCAAUAACGACAAACAACGAUAUACCGAAUGAGUUAAACGGUAAAAGCUUUAAGCACANAUGAUAACCCAACAAGAAUNAAUCAAAACAUAUGGAGACCAUAUAAAUAAUCAAUAGUUUCAAUAAGAGAGAGUAUCAAAAGAUUACAUUGAAUUCCCCAACAACAAUAGGGUUUAGUUCACCAUAGACAUGGUGAAACUAGAUGACAAAUGGAAGAAGAAUGAAAGAGCAAACCCUAGAAAAGAUGAAAAGAAGCCUAAGCAUCCAAGAGAUCCUCUCCAGAGAGCAAAAUUAGGUCUGGUCGUCUUCCCUUGUCAAAAGAAUGACUCUGAAUUCGUAGUAGGGGUAUUUAUAGGUGAGGAGCGCGUCAAAAUCAGGCCCAAGUCCAGAGUGCCACUGCCGGUCGGUUCAAGUGUGCCGCCCGACGGUUUCCCAUAACCUGCCGCCACCGCCCGGCGGUUUUCCUCGCCACCGCCCGGCGGCAAUCGCCAACGCCCGGCGGUUUCUCUCAGCUUGAAAUGCUGCCAACUCCUCGUCCUGGACCGCCCGGCGGUUUAAGUGUGCCACCGGGCGGUACGUCGACUCUUCAAAACUUCAUUUUUCUGUUCUUUUCUUGAGUCAACGACCUGUAUCNNNNNNNNNAGAGAGCAAAAUUAGGUCUGGCCGUCUUCCCCUGUCAAAAGAAUGACUCUGAAUUCGUAGUAGGGGUAUUUAUAGGUGAGGAGCGCGUCAAAAUCAGGCCCAAGUCCAGCGUGCCACCGCCGGGUGGUUCAAGUGUGCCGCCCGGCGGUUUCCCAAACCUGCCGCCACCGCCCGACGGCAAUCGCCACCGCCCGGCGGUUUCUCUUAGCUUGAAAUGCUGCCAACUCCUCGUCCUGGACCGCCCAGCGGUUUAAGUGUGCCGCCGGGCGGAAAGUCAACUAUUCAAAACAGGCCCAAGUCCAGCGGACCACCGCCCGACGGAACAAGUAUGGCGCCCAGCGGUUUCCCAUAAACCUCCAAACCGCCCGGCGGUAAGGGUCACCGCCCGGCGGUUUCCCUCAAAACCGCCCAGCGCCAACGCCAUCGCCUACUCCUCGCCCUGCACCGCCCAGCGGUGUAAGUUGCCACCGGGCGGUGCGUCGACUCUUCAAAUCUUCAAUUUUCUUCUCUUUUCUUGAGUCUACGACCUUUAUCUUCAACUUCAUUCUUCACUUUCUCAAAAUAGCUACAAAACAAUGCAAAACAGGCAUAAUAUCACUAAAAAUAGCUUUUGACUCUCUACAGACUCAUUUAUUGAGUUUUGCUUGAUUCUAAGCUCAUUCCAACUAGCAAAGGGUGUAAUUUGGUCUAAAAUGACAUAUGAAAAUAACUGUUUUUCAACCUUCAUCACUGCUCCAGCUCCACUCCCAUGUGCCUGCUCCUGUGGCCACGUCAUAGCACUAUGAAACUCAUUCAUAGUCCACCUGUGAGUAGGUGGUGUAUCGUAUAGACUCAAUAUCAUCUCAACAGUGGCCACCUGCCCUUUGUAUAGAGACUCCAAUCUAGCCUCCAUCAUAGACAUAUACAUGUCUCUCAUUUGGAAAGGCUCUGCGUGGUGUGAUGGUUCAUCCUACUGGGCUACUCCUCUCCUAGGGCGUCUCUUAGGCAUUGGUCUAGCUGCCUCCUCUCCUCCAUAAUACUUCCUGUAAUAUGUUGCAUCAAUGGCCUUCCUAGGCCUCUCAAAUGGUGGUGUAGAGACAUUCACCCCAUCCUACUGGCACAGAUGUGUGAUCAAAGAAGAAUGACCCAGUGGUGCCUUACUGCUCAUAGUAGCGGCACAACUCUGAAUAUCAUUAGCAAUGACUUCACCAAUGUUCACAUUCAUAUUUCUCAACAUGCAAUAUAUGAACAUGAUGAUGUGAACUAUGACGUCUGACACAUGGGAGCAAGGUUGGACGUUAGCAUGAGUGAAUGCCCUCCAAUAUUUGGCAUGAGGUGCCAGGUCAGCUCUCUUGAUGUGAAUAGGCAAACCAUUCGGAUUCUUGUGGAAAUGCCCUCCAGGUACAUAGAGUACACUCUCAAUAUCCUAAUAAUCUCAGCACUCCCGCACAUUCAGUACAUACUGACACUGCUACCAACCCCUUCAGUCUCCACCCAAAUGCAAUUUCCUCAAUUCUAGACCAAAAUCAUACAAUUUAAUCGGCGCAAAAUGUUUCAAUUUCAUCAAAUCAUGCAUAGAAACCCUAAGAUGAAAAUUGUAUGACUGACUUGGGUGGAGCAACUUUGAAUGCUUGUAAAUGCUUCUUGAGUGAUGAUGGAUGGCAUUUGUUGGAAGUAUAUGAGCAUCACAUGGAUUUUGAUUGAACUAAGGCAUUUGCACAUCUUGAUUGAGAUUUUUAUGCUGAAUUGAUAAAAGUGAUUUCUUGUCUUUUAAACAGGUUGGCUUCUUUAUUUCACCAAGAGGGUGGGUGAAUUGGUGUUGUUGCAAAAACACUUUCUUUUUGCAAUCUUGAAAUCAAAGUAUAAAGCUUUUUGAAAUUUCUCGAAUUGCAAGCAAUCAGAAUAUGUAUGCAGCGGAAAUUAAGUAGUUGACUGCGUAAAGAAUAAAGUCAACUUGAAUGUAAAAGAUAAGGGAUAGAGAAAUGCAAACACAGAUUUAUAUACUGGUUCGGCCAACAAUUCCUACAUCCAGUGUCCUUCCAACCCAGGUAGAAAAUGCAUUAUAAUGGCUGCGGUUUUCACAAGAAGGAAUUUAUAGAAGACCUCCACGUCAAAAAUAUAAAUCUCCUCUCUAACCCAAAACCAAAAGAUAGCUGCACAACACAAUUAGACUUACAGCAAGAAUCCCCUCUUCUGCAAUUUGCAACACCACUUUGAACAAUCCUCAAAGUGAACUAUCCCCCUAUAUCACAACAGGUCCAAUUCCAGCAAUCUUCACAGGAUGCCAAGCCUCUCAGAAAAUUCCAGCAGUCUUCAUAGGAUGCCAAGCCUUUUAGAAAAUUCCAACAGUCUUCACAAGAUGCCAAGCCUACACGAUCAAUCACAGAAGCACCUUCUUGUGCAAAUGUUGAUCAGCCAAUGAAUGCGCAAUUAAAUCUCCUCUUUGAAUCUCUUUCAAGAAAGAUCACCGUCGUCUUCUUGGAGAAUACUUGGAGUAAAGAGAAAUCUGAAACAGAAAUAAAAUUGUCAGAUCAUCAAAAGUCUUUGAACAAACUAGUGUUCAUUCUAUUUAUAGAUUUCUGUUAAUCAGUCAGAUUCUCAGUCGAAUGUGCUACUAAUUUUUAAAAAUAUAGUCGUUAGAGUGCAAGAGCAUAACAUAAUUCCAAAUCAAACAACAAAUACAGUCGAAUAUGUAAAACACAAUGUCGACUAUCACAAUGCAAACACUUUGAAAUUCUUUUCUUCUCAAAAUAGCACAGAGCACUGAUUCUCUAAAUAUGUAUAAAGGUUUUAGCAUAGUCAAAUCCAUUAGUAAUGUAGUCGACUGUACUAGAACUUUGUAGCACAAGAAUAAGUUCGUAAAAGUGCUUGUGAUUUCUUGCUUUAAAAUAUGUGUAGUAAAACAAUGAAAUGAUGCAUAGCACACAACACAUUAAAGCAUAUACACAUGUUCCAGAAAUAUAUCAAUCAAUCAACACAAGAACAUGUAACACAGUACAUACACAUACACAUGUUCAACAGAUAUUACAGUUUAAUCAGCAUAAGAACAUGUAAUGCAACAACAACAUGUACUUGUUAUUAAGCAAUGUGUUGUCAUCAUCAAAAAAUUAGAUUGAUAUAGAAAUUGUGUUGUCAACAAUCUCAACACAACAUAUGUUUGAAAUCUACAAAUUGUAAAAAUUACACAUUAUGCACCAAUAACUAUACUGUCAUUGAGGAAUUAUUACAAACAGUUUGUAAUAUCUGCAUAGCACCUUUGAUUCGAACUAAAUCUGAAUUGUGAUUGUUUUCUAGCUUUUCUAAAUUAGAAAAUUAUUCUCUCUUGAAAGUCACAAUGCUAGAGAGUCCAAAGACUCCCUCUAGCCACCUUCCAAGGCACACUACCUUCAUUUUCCAUUUUCCAAAUCUCCAAGAGUGCCUUCUCUCUCUUCCACGCUGCAUCACAGAUCAGUCGCCACAUAUUCAGCUCCUUGCGCAUGCGUCAGUGCUUAAUUUUCCUCACAGAUCUGCGUCAUCAGAAGAAUACUCCUUCAUUUCGCACUUUCAUCAUUCGCUGAAACACACUCCCUUUGCUCUCGAGGCUUCACUUUGCUCAAGCCUUUUGCUUGUGUCUCCACCCUCAGAAUCAGGUUAUAUUUCCCACUGAUUCACCAUUCUCCUCUCAUAUCUUCAUUCCUUCUCAUUAGUUCAUCUUUUCCAUCAAUGAUCUUCCUCCAAACCUAGGGUUUUUCCCUUCCUUCAUCGUUUCUUCACAUUUUGACCGAUUAAAAACUUCUCUUUCCUUAGAUCUUCCAUUUUCACCGUUCAAAACACCAUUUCUACCGAUUAAUCGGUCCAAAUCCAGUUUCCCCUCUUUUCUAGGGUUUCAUUGUGUUCAUUUUCCAUGUCCUUCGAGUCAACUCUUUUAGAGCUUCAUAUCAACAUUCCGUUGUGUUCAUGGUCUCUUGAAGAAGCUUUGCAGGAGUCAAAUCACGUUAUCGGUCAACAUCCUUGGAGCAUUCUUCCAUCAUGAGGUAUAUUAAAAAUAUUUUUUAUAACUUUUCUACUGAUAAACUCUUGCAGGAGUUCGUGGACGGUGUUAGUUCAAUGCUUUGGGUUACCUACUUUGUGAGUUGAGGAACAGAACAGGGAUGUUGGGUGGGGAGGUUGGGUUGAGAGAGGGUAAGGAGGUUGGGUGUAAGAUGGAAGGAAGAGACGGGGGAGAGAGAGGGAGAAAAUUUGAGAAACACUGACUCAGUGUAAAAAAAAUAAAUAUCGUGUCAGUCUACCGUUAACCACAUCAGCUUGUUUUUAAAGGUGUUAGUUUUGGAGGACUAAAAUCAAAGUUUCCUUAAGGAAGAGGACUAAGAUGUACCUUACUUUGAAAGAGGGACUAAAACCAAAAACUGUUUGAUAGUAUAGGGGCUGAAGACAUAUUUACCCCAAAAAAUAUUUACAUUAUAUAAUUUAAUAUUUUUAAUUAUUAUGUAUUGUUAUUUCUUGUAUCCUAACUAAACCUUUCAUGUCAAUUCCUAUUCGACAUGAAAGUACUCGAGAAAGAAAAUAAUAUAAUACACAAUAUCAAUUCUAAAAAUAAUAUAACAAAAUAUAUAGACAUUGAAUAUUGACAUCAUAACAGUGAAGAGGAUUUUAAUUUUAUGUUCAUUUAUGUAUAUGAUUGGCAUACAUUUUGAGAGGUUUAUAUUUAAGCGGAUGAAGUGACUUACUAUGAUUUAGUUAACAAAUUUCCAUCUCUUCUUUUUCACAAUUUUUGUAUAUGUUUUUUCUUUAUUCUCAUGAGUUUUUGCUUAAUUCCUCGUAAUAUACUCUUUUCACUUCCAACGACCUUCGAUUUUUAAAAAAGUACUUUAUGCAUUUUAUCCCUAUUAAUCCGAAACUGAGUGCAUGUAUAUUGACAAAACGAAUGUGGCUAACAUAGCCCAUGCUCUCAAGUAUGGCACCCAACUCCCAUCAUUUUCUCUUGUUUUGACGUUUCCUCCAAAUUCAAUGUUAAUCUAGUGUUUUUGUUUAGGUCUAUCACCCUCCUUAUUAUAAGAAAAGACUAUUCAUGAAAUUAAAAAAAAAAAAAUCAUUUUUAUACCCAUAAUAAAUGAAUUAUUUUGCUAAAGGAAAAUACAAUUUAUAAGUUUGUAAUCAUGAGUAGUGGUGAAGUUGAUUUUGAUGAGUUCAAUCAAUUCAAACAAAUUAAGUUCAUUUGAAUAUUAGACUCGCAACCAAACAAAUUUUAUUAAAUAUUUUGUUUACAGUUUUAUGAUAAACAUAUUUCACACCCGACCUACUUUUAAUCAGAUUGAUUUGCUUAAUAUUAAAAAUACGAAAAAUUUUAAUGAACUCAAAAUAAUAGUAAAAGUUAAUUGGUUAGAAUAUCACUUUCCAUCAAAAUGGAUAAAUUAGAGUCAAACACCUCUGACAGAAUUUAAAACACAAGUUCAUACUAUUUGAAUAUAAUUGGGUCUAGCUAUGCAUUCAUGCUUGACAUAUAGUGUUGAAUGAUGAUAAAAAUGGAAGGGAGAAAGUGGAUUAUAAGUGGUUUGAACCCUCAAUUAAUAUACUAACCUUUAAUAAUAAUAAUAAUAAUAAUAAUAAUAAUAAUAAUAAUAAUAAUAAUAAUAUAAGAUCAUACAGGAGAUUUUUUAAUGGGUUAAGUCAGAUUACAUUAGUGCAAAAACGUUGUUUAACGUCACCCAUAAGACGUCGGUUUGCGUGUAAUCCGACGUAUAGGAGCGGACGGUGACAUUAUCUUAAAUAGCCUGGUAAACUAGAUGUUGGUUUUAUCCAAAAACAGACGUCUACUAAUUUCAAGACGUCAGCACUACAGCACCCCGACGUCUACUGGGCUGCAUUUAAUGCUUUUCACCUAAUUCUCAGGCGCUUAGACGUCACGUAGUCCAAAUCCGACGUCUAAGGCAUGUCUGGAAGGCGGGAAAGACAAAAAAAUCUUCAAUUUUGACGUCGGCGUUUCGGGCUACACGACGUCUAUAAUACCUGUAAUGAUUAUGUUUACAAAACUCGAGGGCCUGAGACAUAAGCUAUUUAGGGCCCCGACGUGUAUGUUAUUAUAGACGUCGGUGGCCCAUACCAACAGUCGUGAACAUCCCUGAUAGGAUAUCAAACGUCAAUCGGUUUAGCUUCCUAGACGUCGAUUCCCCCUGACAGAAACCGACGUCUAAUGGGUAUUCAAAAAGUCAGUUUUAAAUGUUCAACAGUUUUUUUCUCUCUUUUCGGCAUUCUAUUGUUGUUUCUCAUCUUCCUCCUCUCCUUUUUCUCUCUUGCUUCCCAGGUGCGUGGUUUUUUUUUUAUGCUUACAGUUUAAACUUUAUUUAGUCUUUCAUCUAUUAUCUUGUGGUUGAACUGAUUAAAAUUUGCUUUCUUUGUGUUGUUUUUUAGUGCAGUUUUGAUCCUCUCUUUGGGUAACAUAGUACAACAUUAUCCCUUUGCUGGUUUCCUCACAAGAAGAGUGGCGAUCUUUUGAGUUUUNUAUGGCUUCUCGACCCAAAAUGGAACUUGGGUCCUUGUCUAGUUCUCGUGUCACCGUAAUUUUUUUCUUUUGCGGUUGAAUAAUGGGAAGUAGUCAUGGACCAAGGUUCGGUUUUGGGUUGAAAUGUCAUAGAAGAUUCAAAAGAUGCAAGCUUUUUUUGUGGGGAAACUAGCGAGAGGAGAGUGUUGCAUUAUGCUACCGAAAGUCUGGAUCAAAACUGCACUAAAACACGAUGCCUUUGUUAGACGUCGGUUAGUGCCAGGUUCGAUGUCUAUAAGGAACAUAGACAUCGGUUGGUGUCAUUUUAAACCUCUAUAUAUUCAUGUAAACGUCAGUUUUAUGCAUAGGUGGAUGUCUAUAUAGAGAAAUUAGACGUCGGUGUGGGUAUAAGUAGAUGUCUAUAUGGACGUCGGUGUAUAUCGUUAACCGACGUUUAUAUUGACGUCGGUUAAGAGGAUUUCUGACAUCCCGUGGACGUCACCCUUAUAGACGUCUGUUGUGUAAGUGACGUUAAAAGCCCAAAUUAACCGACGUUAAACAACGUUUCUGCACUAGUGUNNNNNNNNNNNNNNNNNNNNNNNNNNNNNNNNNNNNNNNNNNNNNNNNNNNNNNNNNNNNNNNNNNNNNNNNNNNNNNNNNNNNNNNNNNNNNNNNNNNNNNNNNNNNNNNNNNNNNNNNNNNNNNNNNNNNNNNNNNNNNNNNNNNNNNNNNNNNNNNNNNNNNNNNNNNNNNNNNNNNNNNNNNNNNNNNNNNNNNNNNNNNNNNNNNNNNNNNNNNNNNNNNNNNNNNNNNNNNNNNNNNNNNNNNNNNNNNNNNNNNNNNNNNNNNNNNNNNNNNNNNNNNNNNNNNNNNNNNNNNNNNNNNNNNNAGUUAUGGACUAAGACUUUAACUAGAUAACGUUGUCCCUUAUCACUAAUGUCCAGAUUGAAAGAAGACAAUAGUGUAGACUUGGUCUUGUCACCCCUUAGACGUCGGACCACAAAAUAUCCAACAUAAAUUAUUGAUCGGUGUCAUUUUCGUAAAUAAGUUAGCCAUAUAGACGUCGGUUAGGAAGGUCCCCGAAAUCUAUAAUUUUAUAGAUGUCGGGCCCCCCUAACCGUCAUCUACGGGCCUGAGAGGUAGGUGAUUUUUCUGCCAUAUAGACGUUUGUUCCUGCCACCCCGACAUUUAUAUACGAUUAUAGACAUCGGGCCCCCCAACCCCGACGUCUAUAUGUCUGACAAGGUAGGUGAAAAGUUGACUUAGACGUUUGUUGUGGGGGAAUCGACGUCUAUAGACGUCUGUUAUGGUGGGAAUCGACUUCUAAAUACUCAGCCCAGAAAUUUAAAAUGUCACUUUUUGACUCCACUUAGACGUUUGAUCCCGCCACUCCGACUUCUAAAGCCAUUUUGUGAGGGGAACCGACGUCUAUAGAUGUCUGUUAUGGGGGGAACCGACUUCUAAAUGUCUGUAUUAUAACACUGCGAACAUGAGGCAGUAGUUACGCACACUCACUGUUUAUCAUCUUCCUCGCGUUUUCUCUCCACGGGCUACGUUUUUCAAGUUGUUUUCUCACUUUUGCACCGUUUAAAAUUAAUUUUACUCUGAUUACAAUACUCUUUGAUGAAUUAUCUUUCAUUUCAACCGAUUAAAAUGUGUUUUCAUUGGGUUUUGCUGCGGUUUUGCUUGUGUCCUUGGGUGGCGUUCUUGGGCGGUGAUUUCUUGCGUUUUGCAAUCCUUGAAUUCCCUCCACUACAUUUUUAAAACCAUCCAAUACAAAAAGAACAUACAAUCCAUUCUCUUCAACUAAAAUAUAAAGUUGUAAACUCGAAUCGCCAUGAGCCAGGAGCAACCCGAGAGGCCUUAAGUAGAGAAAGAUCGAAUCAAAUAACCAUAUUUGAAGACAAAACAAGCAAUUACACAUGACAUAAUAGUACUGGAAAGGAUGCUCAAACCAAAAAUGACUCAAACAAUACAAUUUGGACCAAAUAAAAUGAUAAAAAUUAGCAAUGACUCACAACACAGGAUGACACAAACAAGUAUAGAAUCCUAAUGAAUAGAUCAAGACGAUUUGAAUCAGAUUAACAAAUCAACACAAAUGACAGUAAAGGAAUCAUAGAACAACGAGGAACUGAAGAUAAAAAAUAAACACGACUCAGAUUCAUAAUAAAAACCGAGACAAAACAAGAUGAACUCAAAACAGAAAAGACAGAAUCAACAUAAACGCGAAUCAACGCAUACCGAAUCAGAGAAAAAAAAAUGAAACAAGACAGAUGAGCGAUACUUAUCUCUUGUAGCGUGGAAGAAUCGAAGCUCUGAUGAUCACUUGAUGGAAGAAUGCCUUGAGGAUGACACGGAUUGGAGUUGUGCGAACCUAAUUCGAAGUCCUCAAGUCUUCCUCCAGACAUGUACGCAGCAGAAUGUAGACGAAAAAUCGAAAAAUCCUAAAAAACCCUAGGAGGACCGAGAGAAGUGAGGUUGAAUGGUGAACGAACCUUGGACGGUGAGGAAAACCUAAUCAGAGGAAAUGAACUUUUAAUCGACGGAAAUGGUUUAGAUCGGAAAAACUGUUCGUUGGAGAUGAGAUUCUAGGGCUGAAAAGGCCAAAGAACGAAGUAGAAUGUGUAGAUCUGUGAUGAAAACAGGACUUACAAUGGGAGAAAUAGUUGGCGAUGAAGGUGAAACUAUGAAGUUCUCUCAAGAGAGUGAAAGAGCUGAGAGCUUUCAAGGAAAACUUGAGAUGUGGAGAUUAAUGAGAAUGAGGCGUGAAGGAUGUCACACGUGGCUGAUUCAAGAGGUGGAGGAAUAAAACGCUGACGCGUGCACGGUGGUAGAUGAUGCACGGAUGAAGUGUGCGCUAAUGUGGCUGAUGACGGUGUGUGAUGAUGAGAGAGAAGCACCAAUGAAAAAUGGAAAAUGAAAGAUGAGAGAGGUGCUUGGAAGGUGGCGAUUUUGUAACGGUGUCGAUUUUAAUAUCUAAUGUAUGUGUGUUCAGGCACGAAAGAAGUUGACGAAGUUGCUGCAAGGUGCGGUGAACCUAACGAGAAGGAGCAACAGUAGAAAAAGAAAGAUGAAAAGGGAUAUGGAUUCAUUGAUGGAAGUGAAAGAUGAAGAGGGUAAGCAGCUGGAGGAUGAAGACAUUAUAGAAUUACUUCUGGUGUUCUUGUUAGCUGGCCAUGAAAGUUCUACUCAUGGAAUAUUGUGGACUAUUAUCUACCUCUCACAACACUCACAUUUCUUCCAAAGGGCUAAGGUUUUCAUACUUCUUUUUUCUAUAUUAAUUGUUUAUCAAGGGUUUAACUAACAGAACUUUACACCUUCCAGAAAGAACAAGAAGAGAUCAUGCAAGCAAGACCCUCCACUCAGAAAGGACUGAACAUAAAGGAAAUUAGGCAAAUGGAAUAUCUUUCAAAGGUAUAUAGAUUUAUAUUGAUAUAUAUUAAGUUCUUGAAGGCAUGUAAUCUAUGUUUAUGAGGGUCUGAAUCACUAAGAUGAAGCUAUUUAAAAAAGCUAUGUUUGAGAAAACUAUAUUCUAAAUAGGUUAUCCAUGAGAUGUUGCGCAAAACAUUUAUCUCGUUUGCAAACUUUAGACAAGCAAAGGUUGACCUCAGCAUCAAUGGUUAGUUCAGUUUAGUUAUUUAGUGCCAUAUUUUUCAGUAUUUCUUACAACAUUUGAAAAUUUUCGUUCAUUACAGUACCUUAGCAUUCACGAAGAAUGAAAAAUUGCAGGUUUUACUAUACCAAAAGGAUGGAAAGUUCUAGUUUGGAACCAAGGGGUGCAUAUGGACCCCGAAACUUACAAUAAUCCAAAGCAAUUUGAUCCUUCCAGGUGGGAAGUAUAUAUGAUAUAUAGUAAUUAAUUUUGAAAAAAAAAAUGUUCUUCCACUCAUUCUUGGACAUGUGAGUUUGAUUUUGAGGAACAAAAGAUGAUAUAAAAUUAUGUAUUCUGCAUAAUCACACAGCAAGAGCAGCCUUUGUGCUUGACCCACUUGUGUGAUUAUGCGUACUUAAGUUCAUCCAAGACUGUGAAAGAAGGAAAAAGAGUGUGAAGAUGAUAUUUUGAUAGAGAUAUGAAUGCAGAGAAAGAAGUGUAAAUACCAGUAGAUAAGCAUCUAGAGAAAGAAAAAGGAGGAAGAAGAUGGGUCUGGAAGCAGAAGAGAGUUUGAGUGCAUUACUAGUGGAAGAUGGAAGGAAGGGUGGAAGAUGGAAGAAAGAGAGGAGGGAGAGAGAGGGAGAGAGAGGGAGAAAAGGUGAGAAACAAUGACUCAGUGUAAGAAAAAAAAAUUGUGUCAGUCUACCGUUACCCAGAUCUGUUGGUUUUUAUCAGUGUUAAUUUUCGAGGACUAAAAUCAAAGUUUUCUUAAGAAGGAGGACUAAAAUGUACCUUACUUUGAAAGAGCGACUAAAACCAAAACCGUGUGAUAGUAUAGGGACUAAAAUCAUAUUUCACCCAUGAUUUUUUUAAAUUUAUAAGAAUUUAUGAUAAGAAACAAUAGUGAGAAAAUUCUAUAAAUGUGAGAAGUAAAACACACAUGAAUAAGUCAAUCAAUCAAGUUCCAUUAAAAUCAAGUAUAGAUAUAAGAAAUUAGAUCAAAUCGCUAUAAGAAUUUUGUUUAUUUUAUACCCAAUAUUACCAACAACUUUAUAAUUUGUUGGUAAAUUAUAAUUUACAGACCAAUAUUAUUGAUAGAUAUUAUCGAUGAAUUUUAUAUUUAAAUUUAUUAAUAGAUACUUUUAUCAUAAAUAAAUGAGUUUGUUAAAUAUAUUGAAAAGUUUUGUUGAUACCUCACUAUCAUAAGAGAAGAAGAAAGGGAAGAUGAUGGUACUGAUAAUUGUUGAACAAGUUGGUUAGUGACGUAGAGACUAGUGAAUGAUGCUAGGGCUCGCUAGUAAUGCUCAGGUUGACAUGUGAUGAUGUAUAGGAUGGUGGUUGAUGCAAAGGUUUGCUAAUGAUGCGAAGGGUGGUACAUGAGUCAAAGCAAGUUUCUAAGUCAUUAAGGGUGUUUUUGAUAUCAAAAUUAAGUGUAAAAAUAACGUUUCUUGAACCGCUAUCACCACCCCAAACUUAGAACUUUGCUUGUUCUCAAGCAAACAAGAUGUAACUUAAUCUUCCACCAAUCAACACAAUGGUUCAAUCACAUUCCAAACCUCAUUCUUUCAAGACAAGUAAUUACUUAAAUCAGCUCAUCAACAGAAUUUAGUCAAGAUAUGCACAUGCUUUGAUUCAAUUAACUCAUCAUGGUGUUCACAAAAUCACAUAAUCUUCCAACAGAUGUUAUUCUCAUGAAUGAUCAAUUAGCUAAGCAUAGAUGCAAUCAUAGAUUCAUGGAAUUCUUCCUCACCAAAUAAAGUGUUAAACUCAAGCACUCAAAAUUGUUUCACUCAAAGGUGUAUAAAGGCCACUCGUUCACUCUACUAUCUACAUGUCACAUAGAACAAAAUGGCCUUUCAUUUACCACAAUCAAACAUACUCACACACAUAUGUCAUCACGAGCGCUUUUUCAAGGCUUAUAAUGUGGCUGAUAACGGUCUAAAAAUCGUUAUUUUCAUGCUUAAAUUUGAUAUUAAAACACUGACCGCUGAGUGGUCCAACGGCUAAAGGGCACCUGGGCGGUUGUCUGUUUUUAUUAUAGCAUAUUUUGUGAUCUUUCUGUUAUCUUUUUGGCCUAUAUAUAGGUCCAGUGCGAAUCAAAACUCAUUUCUUUUGGUAGAGAGAAACGUCCAGAGCUAUUCCACACACCUUGGAGGAGGUUCCUUGGAUGCUUAGGCUCUAAUCUACCAAGUUUAGGGUUAUUUCAUCCAUUCUUUCAUCAUAUUUCAUCUAGUUUCACCAUGGUUAUGGUGAACUAAACCCUAGGUUGUUGGGGAACAAUGUAAUCUUUUGAAACUCUCAUAUAUCCAAAUUCUUAUUUAUUUUAUAUGCUUGCAUAUGCUUGAUUUAUCAAUUGUUGGGUUCUUCACCUUUGCUUAAUGCUUUUAUCGUUUCCCUCAUUCUACUCGUCCAGCCUCUUCGCAAACUUGUACAAUCGAUGCCACAAAGAUAGUAAACUCUAUUAUCGAAGAAAUAAGGAAACGGGCGACGAUUUGGCACCAGAUAUCCGGAGGUGUGGAAAGAGCAGCUGUGAGGAGCGGAAAAACCAUCAAAAAACGACGAUUGUUCGUGAGGGUUUCCACAGAAAGACCCCUUGGUUCUGGCUUCGGUAAAUUUUGUUUAUCUAUAUUGAUACGGGGAUGUACAGUAAUGUCAUGAACUGGGAAGAAUUCCUUGAUUAAGCAAUACCACCUAGGGAUAGGGGUAGGAGGAUCAAUUGUAUUUUGCUUCCGCUUAUCAUGCAUUAUUAAUUACUAGGGGAGGCUAGGGAUAGCAAGUCGAUAAUUAGUAAUAGGCUCUUUUCACCAAGGGAUUGGGUUAAGGGUAGACUAAGAAAGUUUGCAUGACAAUAUCAUAAAUAAGCUAAUUAAAUAAGAAGAGUAGAUAUAUGAGGGUAGAUAAGAUGAAAUUGUAAACCCCAAAAACUCCAUUCAUCCAUAGUUUCUUAAAGCCAAUUGAAUCAUUGCAUUUGCAUGUUUACUUUUGUUCUUUGCAUUAACACUUCAACUUAAUUCUUUUCUCAAGUCUUACGCGAUUAGUUUACAUGAAAAGUAAGGCCUAAGAGUCCUUUGGGAAACGAUACUUGGACUUACCCAUUUAUAUUACUUUAUAACGAUCCGGUACACUUGCCAGGGACAUAACAGUGGCUUGGGCUAACAAAAAAAAUUGGUUUUUCUAGAUCACAAAACCCUUGAGUUAAGAGAGUUAUUUAUACAUUCAUAAUUCAAGCACAAACUCUCUUUAACCAAUCAAUCUCAUUCCCAACUUUCCCCCUUUUUUUCAUUGAGCUUAUCUUUCUUUCAUUCUAUCUUUUUCAUCUUUUUCUAUCUUUUUCACUUUUGCUCAACACAUUAGCUUAAUGCUUUCUCUUUCUUUUUCAACUUUCCCCAACAACCCUAAACUUGAACCUUUAUCAAUACCACACAAUAAUUAUCAACUUAACUCAAGGUAAAGAUUUUCAAAAAGGUUUUCAAUAGUAUUUAAGGCUCAGGUUCAAAAAGGGUAGAACACAUUGUGCUCUUUUUAAUUGGGACGAAAAUUUAUGCAUUGGCUAAGAAAGGGUUUAAUCAAAAAUGGCCUUGAUCGUAUGACACAUACAUGCAAUUCAAUCAAUCAUAUAAAAUUGGGCAAAAUCAUUCAUGUUUUCAAAUAGAUAGCAAUCAUACAAUCAAAAACUUUGGAGUUCAAAACCUCACUCAUAGGCUCAAUCAUUAUUCCAAAUAUUCUAGAUAAACAUCCUGCUUAGCAUCAUAAUCACAAACACAAAAUCACAAUGCAUUAAUUCAAAUUACAAAAACAAAACAAAAGAUAAGAAAAUCCUAGGUUGCCUCCCAGUAAGCACUCGUUUAACGUCACGAGCCUGACUUGAAAUCUUUCUAGCACCCAUCAGUAAGUGCAAUCCUUACCAACACCCAUCAGUAGGUGUACCUUCCUGUAUCCUUCAGUAGAUACUUAAACUUUCUAGCAUUCCUCAGUAGAUGCUAUCCUAGUAGCAUUCAUCAGUAAAUGUUGUCAGUGACAUUCACCAGUAGACGUCUAUAAACAUAGCAUCUGCCAGUAGAUGUUAAUCUUUCUUAUCUUCAUUGGUAUCACUCAGUAGACACCAAUCCUUCUCAUCUUCUUUGGCAUCCAUCAGUAGAUGUUGUAGAAGUAUCCAUCGUUAUAUGUUAUCAUCACUACCAUUAGAAGCAGUAUUUAACCUAAAAAUAAACUUAAACACACAAAGAAAAAUCAAAUCCAAAUCACACAAAUAAUCAAUUAAAAAGAAAAAGUUAGAAACUGGGUUGCCUCCCAGCAAGCGCUCUUUUAACGUCAUUUGCUUGACCAGGUAAAGCUCAAACACCCAUCAGUAGGUGUUGAUAUUUUAUGUUGGUGUUCUUCCUUCCUUCAUGACACCAACAAAAUCUCAGAAAUUUCCUUGUCACCACUCUAAGGAUCCUCAAUCUCAAGAGCUUUGUUUGCUUUUAUAAUCUUGACAACCCAUAACCUAUUCUCGAAUUUCACUGGUAUGCCAGGUUUGGGUUUGUGAACCAAUUCUCCUUUCUUGUCUGCCUCCUGAUGAUCUUGUUCUCCUAAUAAAAAUUUUAUCCUGCAUACUGUUAAGCCCCUGGCAAGUGUACCAGAUCGUUAUCAAGUAAUAUAAACGGUAAGACCGAGUAUCAUUCUCCCAAAGGACUCACUGGCCUAAACGUUCGUGUGAUUUGAUUUUAUAAGACUUAAAAGAAAAAUAAAUUGAUAGUGUUGAUGCAAAAACAAAAUUUAAACAUACAGAUGCAGAGUUGAAUCAGUUGGCAAGAAAGACUAUGAAUUAAUGAAGUUGUUGGGGUUUACAAUUUCAUCUUUUUCCACUCUCUUAUAUCUACUAUUCUUGUUAAAUUCGCUUUAUUAUCAAUGUCAUGCAGUUAUCUAAUCUACUCAAAACCUGAUUCCUCGGUGAAGAGAGCCUAUAAUUACUAGUCCAUCAUUCCUAGUCUCCCUAAGUAACCAAUAAAGCAUGAAAAACAUAAGUUUAAAGCAAUUGGCCAUCCUACUCCUAUUCCUAGGUAGUAUUGCUUAACCACGAGAAUUCCUAUCAGUUCGAGACUUCCCCAUACGUCCCCAUAUCGGCAAAAUCAAGGAUCAAUACAACAAAGGAGUUAAACGAUGCAAGCAUGAUAAUCGGAUAAGAAAACUUAAACUAUUGAUAAUACAAGCAUAUGCAAGCAUAUGAAUAAAACAAGAAUUUCGAUAUAAGAGAGUUUUAAAAGAUUACAUUAUUCCCCAACAAUAAUGGGCUUAGUUCACCAUAAACACGGUGAAACUAGAUGAAAUAAAUGAAAAGAAUGGAAGAAUAAACCCUAGAUUUGGUGAUUUGGAGCUCCCGCAUCCAAAAACUGCCUCCAAGGAGUGAAGAAGAGCUUUGGACGUCUCUGAUUGCCAAAAGAUUACUUUUGAAAUCACACUAGGUCUAUUUAUAGGCCAAAAAAGUAACAGAAUUUCGGCCCAGGCCCACUCAUUUAGGUGCUCAGCGGUACCUAACGCUUAGCGGUGGUGACGCUGGACGCUCAAUGGUUCUUGACGCUCAGCGGUCUGCGUCUUGGACGCCCAGCGCUAGGUUAGCACUGGGCGGUGGUCGCAGCACCUCUUUUUCAUCUUUUCUUGCCCUUUUUUUGUUCCAAGUCCUUCCUUCUUCAUCUUCAUCAUUCAACUUUCGUAAAAUAUUGUCAAAACAAUGUAAAACCAAGCAUAAUAUCUCUAAAAACCAAUUUUGACUCUCUUGUUCACUAACUUAAUCAAAAUGCAUGAUUUCAAGCUAAUUCUAGGUCAUAAAGGUUGUGUUUUGAUAACAAAUUAAUGUAUAAAAAUAACGAUUUUUAGACCGUUAUCACAUACACUAAAGAACACUACACUAGAGCAUACAAUUAGCCCACAAAAUAAAAACAAUAAAAGAUGUUUUUUUCUCUUUUUUUUUUAGAAAGAUAAAGAUAGAGAGAUAAAAAUAAAAAGAUAGAAAGAUAGAUAGAAAAAGAGAUAGAAAGAUAGAAAGAUAGAUAGAAAGAUAGAGAGAUAGAAAGAAAGAAAGAUAGAAAGAUAGAAAGUUUAAUCGGUUAAGAACCACAAGAUAGAAUGUCCAGUCUCCUUAGUAAUUAGUCAUGCAUUUUAGUGCACAGAAGCUUAAGAAAAUUGAUUGUCCUAUUCUUAUGUCUAGGUAAUAUUGUUAAUCAAGAUAAUUCCCUAGAUCGUGAUUUGUAGAUAUCUCAUGAUACCAGUCUUAGGGAAAGAAGAGGAGAGCUAUCACCUUCCCCAAAUCCACCAACCCUAAGAGUGUGAUAUCUCCUCAUGAUACUUACAAAUCAUAAGAUUUAUGCCAAGCAUUUGAGUAAACAAUAAUAUCACUAACAAUUAAUGAAAGAAGCAUAUAUCAAUAACAAGAACCAAUUCAAAUACAAGAGAGUUUAGAGGUUACAUCUUUCCCCAAUAACAUAUGAGAUUAGUCCUUCAUCGUCAUGGAGAAACAAUGUGUACAAUGGAAUGGAAGAGAUAGAAACCCUAGAAAAGGAGAGUUGUCAAAUCCCCAAAUUUGCCCUCAAAGGGGUGAAAAGUGUGUUUUUGUGCCUAAGCCAUCAAAAGAUACAUUCUCUAAGACGUUUUGGCCUUUAAAUAGGGUAGAAAAAUAACAGAAAACGGGUGCAGGCCCAAAACAGAUUAUAAAAAUAACAGAAAACUGGCCCAAAACUUGCGUCGUCGGCGCUCAACGCUAUAGUACCACUCAACGGUAGGUGUGGCACUUAGAAUGGCCCCCAACGAUGUCGCCCAGGCGAAAAAUAGUGAAAAACUAGUCCUGAGACUAGCGCUCAGCGCUAGCCUGUCACUCAACACCACCUGCGCUUCUGAAAAACUACACUCUGCUUAACUUUUCAGCAUUUUGAUUGACUAGUUGACUUUUCUGGUUGACUUUUCUUAUUGACCGGUUGACUUUCCUACACUGCAACUCCUUAAUACUUCAACCCUUCCAUCAAAUCAUUCCAAUAACCUACAAAAUCAAGGGAAUUUAGUGAUAAAAUCAUCAAGUAUAACCUCAACUCUCUUAUUCAAAAACUAAAGCAAAAACAUGAGUCAUAGCAAGUUUAUAAGUCAUUAAGGGUGUUUUUGAUAUCAAAAUUAUGUGUAAAAGUAAUGGUUUUUGAACUGUUAUCAUAUAUCAAUGAUCAGACGCAUGAUCUUUGACACAAAAAAAAACCCGAGAUGCUUGAUGUACCAUGAUAAACGAUUCGUCUCGAUAAUGCACCUUUCGAAAAUCAACUAGUGUCAUACCCGAUUCAUCUAUUUUCACACCACUCUUAUUAUCAAACGACUUCAUUUUAACAAUGGAACAGAAAACUUGGUGUAAUCAACUCCCAUAUCUCUUAUAUUAUACCAUAAUAUCUCAUUGAUCCAAGUAUAAGAUUUUGAUCUUUUGAUGUGGAAAAUUGGAGUGACUCAGCUUCUAGACUUACUCCAUUAUUUUGUACUAUGCUUUUAUCAUCCAAAGUCUUUAUAUAUAUAUGCAAUUAUUGAUUUCAUAACUUGUACAACAUACGACAUCAAACUUUAAACCAUUUGCAAGCCACAACAAAGUCUGAUAAGAAUGUGGCUCUUUGUCAAUUUCAUAUUUGAACCAAGACAUAAAUGUUGUGUUAUGUUGCAUCAACUGUCAUUUCUCUUAUUGUCUUGGAUUUUUAUUCUUCACAAUGGCUUUGUGUGCUUGCAAAAAAGGGAUCACCUCAUCUAUGUCGUUCAAUAUAUAAAGAUGUGCUUGCGACAAUUUUUCACGAUUGGUACUUAGAUUACCAAAUGGGUUUAUUCCAUCAGUGGCUAAAUCAAGCCUAAGAUUUCUACAUUCUUGACCAAAUUGGGGAAAUUGUUGAUCAAUAUUUUUCCAUUUCUUUGAAUCACCUGGAUGACGAAGCAACCCGUCAAUUUUUCUCUCAUCUGCAUGCCAUUUAAAGUUUUUAGCAUCUUUUGGAUUCUCAAAAAAACGCUUAAGUUUGGGCAUAAUUGGAAGGUACCAAACUACUUUUAAAGCAGAUCCAUUUUUUUAUAUCUGACCAUUAUCUUCAUUAUUGUUUUUUAACUUGUAUCAUGAUAACCCACAUUUUGGACACUUAUUCAAAAAUUCAAACUCUUUCCUAUAUAGAAUGCAGUCAUUGUGACAAACAUGUAUCCUUUUAUACUUCAUACCCAUCGGACAAAGAAUUUUCUUCACAUCAUAAUUACGAAUGGGUAGUGUAUUUCCAUCUGACAGCAUUUCAUUCAACAACGUCAACAAUUCUGUGAAACUCUUAUCGGUCCAUCCAUUGGUCGCCGUCAAAUUCAUAAGCCUUAACACCGUUGACAACCGUGUGAACUUAGUUGCACCGACAUACAAAGGUGUUUCCAUAUCAGUCGACCUCGUUUCAUACACAUGACCUUUGGCAAAAAAUUUUGCGCCAACAUCGCGGAUCAUUUCCUCCAAUUUGUCUUUAUCCGAUCGAUCUUCUUCCAUGGUGGAAUCAAUAACAUUUUCAGUUUGGGAGACAGUCGAAAAGUGUAUUUCUUCGUCGUGCCAUAUCUAUGUUGUAUAGCAUCGUAGGAAACGAUCACAGAUAAGAUAUUCCCUAAUUUGGCUUGCGUUCAACUUUCUCCCAUUCAAACAGUUCACACAAGGACAUCUAAACUUCAAUUCAUCAUCACUUCUACCCUCAUUAUGUUGCGCAAAUUGUAUAAAUUCCUCUACCGCUCUCUCGUACUCAGCACUAAUGCGUGAUAAAUUAAUCCAAUUUCUAUCCAUACGAUCCAUGUGUAAAUAUUUUGAAAUAUUCUACAAAAUUACAAUACAAAAAAUGAUUUUGUAUUGAUCAUUUAACGACAAAUUAUGGUUAAUUCAAUUCAAUCAUACAAUCAUAAAAUUGAUAAGCAUAGUACACCACCACAAAGGCAAGAACAAGACAGGAAUUUCUACAGGAAACAACACUGGAAGCCUAACUCUUUCUUAUCUCAAACAUUCAGAAAACAUGAUUGGGCAAAAAACAUGAGGAGAAAAGCUCUCUAGUUACAUGCAACCAGCAAAGUUGCAUGCCCUAGCUUCAAGAACAAUGAAAGAAAAAAGGAAAGUUACUUACCAGUCGGAAUAGAGAAAGUCACUAGUGCAGAAAGGUCUUUAGACGUCUGUUAUUUUGGGCUUUUAAUGUCUUUUUCACAACUGACGUCAUUACGGGUGACGUUAAUGGGGCGUCAAAUUUGCAUAUAACAGAUGUAUAUAUAGACGUCAAUUAGUGCCAUGCCCGACGUCAAUAGAUGUCGGUUGAGGCCUACUCCAACGUCUAAGAGCACCAUAUAGACGUCGGUGUGGGAACCAACCGAUGUCUAAGAGCACUAUAAAGACUUCGAACAUGUCACUAACCGAUGUCUAAGGUCACUAUAGACGUCGGUGUAUGCAUUAACCGAUGUCUAAUAUAGUCGUUGUGUUUUAGUGCAGUUUUGUUCCUGUCUUUGGAUAGCCUAGUAGCACACUCUGUCUUUGCUAGUUUCCCCCAAAAAAAAGCUUGCGUCAUUUGAAUUUCUCAUGACAUUUCAACCUAAAACCGAACCUGGGUUCUUGCCUAGUUCCAUUUUCAACCGCAGGAGGGAAAAAUUACAGUGAAACGAUAACUAGGCAACGACCCAGGGUCGUUUUUGGGUCGAAACAGUAUAAGAUAUCCAAAAGACGCCACUUUUUUCUGGGAGGCAGCUAGCAAAGGCAGAAUGUGGUACUACAUUAGCCCAAGAGAGGAACAAAACUGCACUAAAACACAAUGAUGAAGGUUGAAAAACAGUUAUUUUCAUAUGUCAUUUUAGACCAAAUUACUACCUUUACUGCUUAGAAUGAGCUUAUAAUCUAGCAAAACUUGAUAAAUGAUUCUGUAGAGAGUCAAAAGCUAUUUUUAGAGAUAUUAUGCUUGUUUUGCAUUGUUUUGUAGCAUUUUUGAUAAAGUGAAGAAUGGAGUUGAAGAUGAAGGUCGUAGACUCAAGAAAAGGGAAUAAAACUGAAGAAAUGAAGAGUCAACGUACUGCCCGGCGGCAAAUUACACCGCUGGGCGGUCCAGUGCGAGGAGUAGGCACCUGGCGUGGGCGGUGGGUGGAUUUGCAAUUAGAGGCAAACCAACGGGCGGUAGACCCCUACCGCCAGGCGGUAGACCCCUGCCGCCGGGCGGUAGUGCGGCUUGAGGGAAAUCGCCGGGCGGAACAAGUGUGACGUCCAGCGGUUGUCUAUUGGGCUUGGGCCUGCUUUCAGUUGUGUUCCUCACUUAUAAAUAGCCCUAGUGCGAGUUUAGAUGUAUUAUUUUGACAGAAGGGGGCGGCCAGACCUAAUUUCACUCUCUGGAGAGGAUCUCUUGGAUGCUUAGGCUCCAUUUCUUCUUAUCUAGGGUUUGCUUUUCCAUUCUUCAUCCAUUUUUCAUCUAGAUUCACCAUGACAAUGGUGAACUAAACCCUAUUGUUGUUGGGGGAAACAAUGUAAUCUUUUGAUACUCUCUUUUAUUGAAACUCUUGUUUAUUUAUAUGAUUUUCAUAUGCGUUGAUUAUUAAUUGUUGGGUUCUCAUCUGUGCUUAAUGCUUUUAUCGUUUAACUCAUUCAAUAACUGUUGUUUGUCUUUAUUGAUACGGGGACGUACAGUAAUGUCAUGAACUGGUGAGUAAUUCCUUGAUUAAGCAAUACCACCUAGGGAUAGGGGUAGGACGAUCAAUUGUUUUUCACUUCUGCUCUAUAAUGCUUUAUUAAUUGCUAGGGGAGGCUAGGAAUAGCAAGCCAGUAAUUAGUAAUAGGCUCUUUUCGCCGAGGGAUCAGGUUAAGGGUAGGCUAAGAAAGUUGGAUAAUAAUUAGUUAAUCAAGCAAAUAAAUCAAGAGGAGUAAAUAAGAGAGAGCGGAUAAGAUGAAAUUGUAAACCCCCAACAACUCCAUUCAUCCAUUGUUUUCUUCUCGUCAAUUGAAUCAAUCUCUUUUGCAUGUUUAUAGUUUGUUCUCAUACCCAAUUAACUAAUUUUUAUUUUCAAGUCUUACGAUCUUAAUUCACACGAACGAUAAGGCCUUUCAAGUCUCUUGGGAAAACGAUACUUGGACUUACCAUUUAUUAUUACUUGAUACGAUUUGGUACGCUUGCCAAUCCGUUAACACAAAACACAAGGAAAACACAUUUUAAUCAGUUGAAUCAGAAGAUAAUCGAUGAAAGACUAAUAUAAUCAGACUGAAACAAAGUUUAAACGGUUUAAAUAAAAAAAAGAUGCACCUGGAAUGCAAUGCCGCAAGAGAGAAAAAGGAGAGGAGGAAGACGAUGAUGUUUGCGUAACUGCGAGUCUAUGGUUUAUUUAACAUGAAUUUAGGCGUCGGUGGCUACAGAAACCGACGUCUAUAGUCAGCUAGACGUUGUUUAUCUCACUAAUGUGACGUCCAAGAUAACUUUUAAUCUUCCUUUUGCAUGCACCUUAGACGUCGGACACAAGGGGCUCCGACGUCUACGACGCUGAUCGAAAUGACUUUUCAAUUCCGGACAAGGAAGUAGACGAUGGUUGUCUUGGGGCACUGACGUCUAUAACAUUUUAGACAUCGGCCCCCUACUACUAGACCUCGAAGUGCCUGCGAGUAUGGUGAGUGGCAUUAAUUACUGUCACAAAGAUGUCGUUCCCCCGGAAACCAAACAUAUAUAUUACAGAAAUUGAAUGUCUUCCUGCCUUCCUGUCAGGCCCAUUGACGUCAUGUUAAGGGAGCAUAGACGUCUAUAACAUUAUAGACGUCGAUUAUUUAUUACGUGACAUCUAAGUGCCUAAGAAUCGGGUGAAGAGUAUUAAUUGCAGCUAGAUAGACGUUUCCCCCCCCCCUCACAACCAACGUCAAUGGGGUAGAAAAGACUGUCUUCUCGCCUACCUGUCAGGCCCUUGGACGUCUGGUUAGGGUAGAAUAGACGUCUACUAAAUUAUAGACAUCGUUUGUCCUAGAAACCGACGUCUUGGUUACAACUUAUUUACGGUAAUGCCACUGUCCAUUAAUAUACGUCGAGCCACCCGUUAACCGACAUCUUGUCGGUGACAUUAAACAUUGUUUUUGCACUAGUAAGUGAUCGGUCUAAAAUGUAGCCCUCUACGCGGUGAACGCUUGAGCACCUUCAGAUUGAAGAUUGAACGGUUCAGUGAACUGAUAUUUUAGAGAGAAGGCAGAGUAAAUUUAGGGAAAAUAAGAGUUCCAGAGAGAGAGGGUUUAAGCUUAAUGAACUCGGACUUUGGGAUACUCUUUCUAAAGUCAAUGUGCCUCAAUGUUUAAAGCCCGGGUACCUCACACAAAUCCCAAUAUCCAUUGGCCCAAUUUUCAGGUCUUCACAAGAAACACUAAUAAUUUAAUAUCAAUUUUGAAACAACAUGAAAAACUCAUAAUUUAGUAUUGAUGUUAUUUAACGGAUGUGAAAAAUCUAAUAUAUAAAUGUUGGGUGUACUAUAAUAGAUGUUAAAUGUAUUGUUGUGCUUCAUAUCUUACAUUGAGUAUGGAAUAACUAACACAUAAAGUAGGGGUUUUUAAAUAUGCUUUUUAUUUUAGGAGAAUUUACUAAAAAAUAAAAGGUGUAAUGGUGAUUAUUUUUCUAAUAUAUAAUGUCAUUUAUAACCAUCGUUGUUUACAUAUCUUUCGGUUCUCCCAUACUACCAAGCCUUACAUAUCUCAACCACUUUCUCUAUGCCAGAAUUAGCCACUGCUAUUGUAAAUUUUGCUCAAAUCUUUUCGUGCAGCAUUUUAUCAUUCUAUAAAUUAACAUCAUCACAUAACAUAAGAGAGAACACAUAUACAUCAUUGAAAAUGCAAGUAUUUUGCUUUAUAUUCAUAUGUUUGAUGAAAUCUUUUCAUCACAGACAUUUGCAAUUUUCGUAAUGUGCACUAGUACAAUUAAAGGAUUAGGUACCGGUUAUAUUGAGUCAUAGACAUCGGUUUGAGAACUGAGUCAUAUGUAGACGAGGUAGAUAGUUAGUAAGAUUUGUCUCGGCUCUGUUUAACCAAAGCAGUAUUCAGGAUUCGACUCGUUUCACUUUAAACCGAGGCAGUAUCAGGUCUUCCAGAUUUUCAGAUUUCCAGAUUGGGUAUCCUUCGCGAAUGUCAUCCCCUGGAACCAAAAAUGGAAGCAGGGAGAUCUCGUUCCGCUCAAAUCCUCACUAGUCAAGGAAGACCUUCCGCUUAGUUAGGACUCUCUUUCAGGGAGACUCAUUGAUCUUAUAGGAAGCAGAAAUGGUUGGAGACAUGAAAUUCUUUGAGCACUUUGAGCAAACAGCUAGAGAUCGAACCUUCAUAGGUUUCAAAAUUUGAUCUUUCCCAUUUUCUUUAUCAUCCAAGGAGUCUAGAAAAAUCUGCAGGAUACCAACAAAACCUCUUCUAUAAAAAUAUGCAAAAUACUUGGAGGAGAACCAUGGCGACGGCGUAAUUGGAGGGUAGGGAGAGAUUGGAGAGGGCGAUAUGAGCCUCCAUGUGCGAACACUGAACGGAAGCCCUAAAUCAGAAUCGCGUCAUUGCUUGCCUCCACCUGCAACCACAAUCAGACCUGCAGAAAUCAGAUUUAAUCCGCGGUGGCUGGAAACCCUAAAUCGGAAGCCCUAAAUCAAAAUGGAAGAAGGUUGAAACACGGUGACUGGCGCGACAGUGGAGAAGAGGGGUAUGGAUAUGUCUGAGUUUUCCUCUUUGCAAGUACUUGCGUGCGCGAGGAGGACGAAGGUUGCGUUCUUCGAUUGACGGCCAUGGAUGUUCUCAUGGCGGAGAAGAUGAAGGUGGUGGUCGCGGCGUCCAUGGAGUUUGGACGAGAAAGAAGGUGUUGUGGUGGCGGCUUUGGGUGGCGGCUUGCGAGUUUGCGCAUGGUGGUCGGUGGCGUGCGGGUUUGCGCAUGGUAGCCGGCGGCGUGGUUGAACGAUGGUGCUUUGCAGCAACCCUAAUGGGUGUUGAUGGUGGCGCCCUAAUGCUGGGGUGUGGUGGAGAGGAGAAAUCGCGAUGAGGCUGAGGGAGGCAAAGAUGAGAGAGAAAUCACGAGAGUGCCUAAGGGCUAUUUUAUGGUGGGGCCUGACAGCUUUUUUGAUUUUAACCUAAGGCUAUUAACUCGGUUAUAUUUAAAACUGGUGCGUAAACCCUUUAACUGCAUCAGUUCCAUAGCAAACCAGUGUCUAAACUAUUUAAAAUUCAUAUUACAUGCCUCGAUUGGUCUUUUACUCGAGAUACUAGCAUCUAUAGGCAUCGAUUCCUAUAUAACCGAAGUAUAUAACCACUCAAUAUUUACAGAAAUGCCACCACACUUUCAUACGCUUCGGUCAUAGUAAAACCAAAACAUAUAUAAAACGAGUUAAUAAAGUUUUUUUUUACUAGUAGUAUUUCAUAUUUUUGUUUUUAAUCUCAGUAUAAUCUUUAAUUUUAUUAUAAAAAUUGAUAUUGUCUGUUUCAUUAAAUUAAUCCUAACAUACUUUAAAUAAUAAUAUAUGAUAAUAUAAAUGACACAUAAAUUGUCCAAUAUAAAUAAAUUAUCGUACGUAAAUACCACAUAUAAUUUCAUUAUUAUAUUGUUUUGAGAAUGACAAUAGUAUAAAUAACACGUAUAGAUACACGUGGCAUUGUUGAAUAUAGAUAAAUUGUUCAAGAGGACAUCAACUUUUUUUACUAUACAACUUAUUUAUACUAUCAGAUUGGCACCUCUAAAUUAUAUCAAUAUAAAUUAAGGGACUAUGUAUAAUCUUUUUAAUAAAAUUGACAAUUACUAUGUGAUAGAAAAGAAAAAAAAUUUAAUGAUCAUAUUAAAUAAUUCUAAAAAUAAUGGGAAAAGAAACUUAAACAUAAUUUAUUCCAUUUCAUUUUUAUAGAAGGAAAAGAAUAGUACUUUUACUUGUAAUUAAGUAACAAUGAGAUUAUCAUACACAUAAAAAUAAAAGAUUAAAAGUUAUUCAUUUAAUUAAAGUGAAUAUUGAUUCAUUUUAUUGAUUUGAAAAGUCCAUUCGGUGCUGUUCUCUUCCGUAAAAGAUAGUAAACACCCAUACGUAGUUUCUAAAUCACAAAUACCAAUUUCACAUAUAUCCUUGUAUAAUAUAUAGAAUGGCUAUCGUAAUCAUGUGCAAUCCUGUACAAUAGAGAUGGGAGAUUCCUUUUUCUUAAUUUUUUUAUACCCAAAAGAAAACGUACUUCUUAAUAUAUAAAAAGAAUUCACAACAUAAAGAAGUUAAAAAUAGGGUGUGGUUGGUUAAAGAUACCUUCAAUGAAAAUUUUGUUCAAAUAAAGCAUAUAUUUCUUUGGUAAAAGAUAAAGUUUGAAAUUCAAUAAUUGAAUUUAAGGUAACAUUUGACUAAGUACAAACUUUUAUUAGGUGUCCUCUAAGGCAUAUUGAAGUGUCACUCAGCGGAUAAUAGUGCAGAAACAGUUAGCAGAGAGUAAUGCCAUACCGUAUCCCAAGUUCCUCGAGAUGUUCAACCAUUGAAUUCUCACAACCACCACCUACUCAAACGUCCAUAGAAAAACCCUAUAUAAACACCACAACCCAAAACCCUAAAACUCACUAAUUACUCAUCAUCAUCAAUCAUUUCAUCUUCAGAAGCAUUUUUCAGUUCACUUUGAAAAUGGCCAGUGUUAAGUUUGCAUGCAUGGUGGUGAUGUUCAUGGUGGUAGUGGGUUCACGCAGUGCUGAGGGAAUGACGUGUGGCCAAGUUCAGGGCAACCUAGCACAAUGCAUAGGGUUCCUUCAAAAGGGCGGUGUUGUUCCCCCAUCAUGCUGCACGGGGGUGAAGAAUAUCCUGAACAGUUCCAGAACCACCGCUGAUCGCCGAGCCGUUUGUAGCUGCUUGAAGGCUGCUGCUGGUGCAGUUCGUGGGAUCAAUCCCAAUAAUGCUGAGGCUCUCCCUGGGAAGUGUGGGGUCAACAUACCCUACAAGAUCAGCACCUCCACCAACUGUAACAGGUAUAUAUAUACUAUUUUGAGGUCUCAAGUUCACUCUUGUUUUCACUUUUUAAGUCUUUCUUACACUAUGAUAAAGUUUUAACUAAACUUAGAGUUUUAAGUCAAUUUCGAUUUGUAUGAUAAAGUUUACAUCAUGUAUAAAGUAUUGAAGGUGGUUGGUGUUUUGUUUUGUAGCAUCAAUUGAAGGGAGACAGAUUUGGAUGGAUUGGCUAAGAGAAACCAUGCUAUGCUACAUGUUAGUAAAGAGAAUAAAAGGAGGAUAGGAGUCUCCAUUUAUGGGAGCUAGUUUCUUGUUUUGUGUUCUAUAUUCCAGUGUGAAGUUUAUACACUUCCUUUGGAUGUUAUGUGAAACUUUAUAAAGUGAAUAAAAGAAGUUUGAUGUUGAAAGUUUGAUGUUCAUUGUGAAAUUUACCAAAGCUCUUAUUCGUGGUGAGAUUGAUCUAUUCUGUCACAAUGUAUUAGGUAAUUGGUAAUGGCAAUGAUAAUAUAUAAUUUGUUCAUCUGAUGCAGGACUAAUUACCUGUGAAUGUCAUUACUUAUUUUGUUGUUGAACUUAAAUCACUUUACCAAGAAAAGGUAGUCUUAAUUUUUUGUUUCUAGUUUUACAAACCUAAUAAAAUUUAUAUUAUGACAAUUUAUAAAAUUAAUAGAAAGAAUGAUUAUUAAGUAAAACAUUGUUCUUUAAAAAGAGACUUUUUUUUUAUUAUUAAUCUAUCCUUUAAAUGGAACAAAAUAAUAAAUAAUAAAAUUAUUUCAAAAACUCUUUAGUUUUUAAAAUUGAUACUUGAACUUUUUGGAACAAGUGAAAUUUAGUAAUGUUCCAUUACAUAAAUGAAAUUAAUAAUCGAUAGACCCUAUCUUUAUUAUUAAUACAAGAAAUUAGUCCUUUUUAUAGAAUCCCACUGAAUUAAACUUGCAAAUUAUUAACAGGUUUCAAUACAUUAUGAUUAAUUGAUUUUCUUAAAUAGUUUUUAUAAAUUUAAUUUCUUCUAUAAUAAAUCUUAUUUUUUAAUUUUAACAGAUUUUAAUCAACACUAGAAGAUAUACUAUUUACAUCUUGGAACACCCAAAAACCAUUUCUCUAGAGACCAAAACGAAAGAAAGCAAAGGUGAAGUUGUUGUAGGGCAAAGAGGAAUAAAGACUUGUUCUUCCAAACGCUCAUGUUUUAAAAUAAUUAUUUUACCCUUAAAUAAAGGUGACUUUUGAAUUACCAAUUCUAAAAAUUAUCAAAAAAAAACAAAUUUUCAAGAACAAAAUUUUCUUAACAUAGUUUCCAGAACAGUGUUUCUAGAAUAGAAUUUAUAAACCAGGAUUUCAAGAACAAGUUUUCUUCAAAAGGAACUUUAUAACAAGAUUUUUUGAAUAAGCUUAUCGAAUCAUGAAACAUUGUUUGGAUUCAGCUUUUCAGAACAUGAUUUCUAGAACAAAUAAACAUUUUUGGAUUCAACUUUUCAGAACAUGAUUUCUAGAACAAAUUUUGUAGAAUAUACAAAAGACAUUUCGGAACAGGCGUUUUGGAGCAAGAUUUUUGGAACAAGAUACCUUUCAGAACAGAGGUGGCUGCAUGGUGCAACAAAAAGGGUAUUUUAGUCUAUUUGCUUUCAUCAUAGAGGUACAGUUAGUAAUGGGAUGUAGGAAGAAGAACAUAGAAAUAACAGGUCCUAUCAAUUUGGGUUUUCAGACCCAACUUUUUCUUUCUUACAAAAAAUUACAGAUGCAACUUUCUCCAACCCGUUUUAUUUUGUGGGAAAAUUGACUUUUCAAAAUACAUUAAUACACCAGGGAUUUCAUAAGAAAACUAUGAACAAAAUAUUCCAAAGCUUCACUCAUUCUUUCUCAUUCCAGAAUAAUUUUUUUGAACUAUAAAAUUCAUAUUUUAAAAUACUAAUUCCAAAGUAAAGUAGUAGAAAGAGUAUAGUAAAUUAUGAAAUGCUGUAUUUCCAUAAAAAGAAUGUUUAUUUUUAAUUAUUUUUCACCUAAUGGCGAGUCAUAAAUGAGUAUUAUCCACGUGUAAAUGUGUCGGUAGAUGAGUAAUAUCGUUUUAAUAAAUAUAAAUGGAUUGUUGGUAAUUUAAAUAAGGUCAUUAUGUGAGUUAUCUAUAAACAGUAUGUUAAAUGAUCAUGAUUAAAGAAAGUUCUUUACAUGACAUGAAUAAAUAGUGUAUAAAUUCUUUUCAUCAAGUUUGAAAACAAAAAUAUUUUAUUAUGAUGUAUGACUUUUUGUACAGCAUUAAUGAGAGAUCUACCGACCUGAUAUUUUUGCAGAAUGUGUAGGACCUAUACCUAUGACUCAUGGAUAUGUAGGACCUAAACUUAUGUACAUGUUACACUUACUGACCACACAUGCCUUGCUUUCCAAAGAGGGUAGGCUAAAGUAUAAGAACAGGGUCCAUCUACCAUAACAGCAUUUAUUACUCACAUAUUCACACUCCCUGGACCAUUUCAUGGAUCUUCUACUGUUUCAGCUUUGUGCCCUAGCUUUGAAGGGCAAAGUUCUUGUUACUUCCAUUGCUAGAGACAAAAGAAUAAAAGAAUAAAAAGAAAAAGAGAAAGAAAUAGUUGGAAAAAAGGAAAUUAUUUUAAUUAAGUAUAAAUCAUGUUAUUGAAGUAUAUACAUGCAUAAAUCCACCCUGAGAUUUGUUUGUAUAAUUCAUACUUUUAAAAGGACUUUAAUUUUUGUCAUGUUUAUUUAUCAUGUGAAAUUGGCAUGUGAGUCCAAGUUAAUAUAUAUAUAUAUAUAUAUAAUCAACUAAUGAAAAAAAAAGUAGAUUUGUUGAUUGAUAGAUUACGAAUUUGUAAAAGAAAAAUAAAAAUUGUUUGAAUAGUUAUCUAAAUAUAAAAAGAAAAAAAAAAACUUUACUCAUGUGAGGAUGGUUUAACCUAAUUUUUCUUAUUAUCCUAUUAUUUUAAUGAUUUACGAUAAUUUUAGAAAGAAUAGGGAAAAUGAUUAUAAAAAAAACAACAAACAUAUAAGUUAUUUAACAUAUACUACAGGCAAAAACAACUAGAUGUAACUAUAAAUUAUAAUAGUUUGAAGUUAGAAAAACUGUAAUAUAGAUUAAUCUGUUGAUAAAUUUGCUGUCCUUUUAAAGAAAUGAUGUUGAAGGAAGCUAUCUAAAAGCAAUUUCCAAUUGUUCCCAGUUUGAGCGGGACCAAUUUAAACCGCUAUUAGUUGAACAAGUCAUUUCUUCAUUAAUUUCCUCUUCUUAUGUACAGUUGAGGUUGGUGAGUAUACUGGCCCACUGUGUAAAUAAUUUAUAGGAUUCUUUUUCACUAAAUUAUUAACAUGUAAAUUUAAAAUUAAUUUUAUUCUAUAACUCUUUUAUCAUAUUUGUUUGGUGAGCGUGAAAUUGCGUUGAAAUAGGAUGAAGGAAAAAAAAAGGUAUAAUUUAAAUGUAUGCGGUGGAGAUAUUGAAUCAAAUCCCUUUUAAUGAUGUUACUUAAAAUCUUAUUUUCUAAAAUCGUAUUUUAAAUUUAUAUUUUAUAAAAAAAUUAUUUCAAAAUAAUUUUUAUUUAAUUCAUGUAUUAUUUCGAUAGCUCAUUUUUUACUAAUUGAACCCCAUGUUUGUCCUAUAUUCGGAUGAAAUGAAGAGAAGAGAGAAAGCGAAAAUGAGAGAAAAAAAACAAAAAGAAAACAAAAAUUAGUAGAAAAUAAAAAUUAUUUAAAUUAAAAGAAAGAGAAUGAAAAUUUUAGAAAGUAUAAUAAAUUUAUUGAUUAUUUUAUAAUUAUUUAUCAUUGUUAGGAUAGAAAAAACAAAAAAAGCAAUACUUAUAAUAGAUUAUGUUUUUCCUUGGAUAAUCGUUUAUGGGGUUAGUUUACACUUUUAAUUAUUAAAAAAAUCAAUAAAAUAAUCAAUUAUAUUUAUAAUAUACGUAUUUUCAUAAAAUUAAAAAGAAAAAAAAAACAUUAUUACCUAUAAUAACGUUAAGAGGUAAACGUAUACAUCAACCUCUUCAUUCUGUUACGGCAAAAAAUAUUAAUGCUUUAAUUUCAAGUUCUCAGAGAUAACAUUAUUACCGUCAACACUUCAGAUGUUGUUCUCUUUAAAAUUUAAUACAGAUCUUUGUCAUCGAAAUACACUUUAAUGUACCAAUAGGUAUAUAAAAUACCUUUGAUUUUAAACAUUACUACAAAUCAACCAAAUUUACGAAUUACUUUAACGUCAUCGGAAGUUUUUAUUUUCACUCAGAAUUUUAAACAUGUCUCUUUCUUUUUUCUAUCUUAAUUGAAUUAUUAUUUUGUAAAAUUAAAUCAAAUAGAAACUUUCCGUCAAAUUGAGAAGAUACCGUUAAAAAGGAUAUUAGGUGACAUGCUGAGGGUAUUAUUUUAGAUAACGUGACAUUUUAUACAUAAUUGUAAUGUGUAUUUUAUAACUUUUAAAUUAAAAAAUUAAGGACAAAUUGGAAAAAAAAGAGUUAAAAAAUGCUCUUUUCUCUCUGAGGAAUGAAAUUAUGGUUCCUUGGAGAUAGGCAAAACACAAUUUAAGAGUUUUCUGCAAUGGAGUUAAUGCGGUUUGUAUAUUGUUUUCUUUUUGGAUAAAGAGUUUAUUUUUUGUAAUUUUACUUAUGAAAUCCAGAUACACAUUAAUUACAAGUUAUCACGAUUCUUAAUAUGGAAGAAAAAAAGUAUAUUGCUCGUAAAUGUCAUCUCUCAGUUUUUAAUGUUUUUGAUGGUCUAGUUGAUGGAAUAUGCUUCACUUGGUUGUGCAGAAGUCGUGGGAACAUAGAGAUUAGAGAGAAGAAAUAGGUUGAUAAAUAAAAAAUGUGGUAUAUUUAAAAGAGGGAAACCACAUCAGAACAAUCCACCAAAACCCUAAAUCCAUAGUCAGCCACCACACCGUUCAACCACCAUCGCAGGAAAACCAUCAGAACCACGUUGGACCUCCGUUCACUUCAAAUGCAUCUCGCAACAGCCACCAGCACUGGAAAAACCAUUGUGAGCUUGCAUCAUCCUCACUGAACUACCUCGCGAGCCAUGUGUGAAGGCUCCAUCACAAUGCGAACCAGAUCUCUGCACCAGAGUCACACCACCACGAAACAAAAACAACACCAUCCCCAGCCCCAAAACUCCUCUGCACAAACCCUAAUCGCGAAAGAUAUGACCGCGCCGGAAAGGAGAUCGAAAUCGCAAGCCAUCAACAGAGCAACCCAAACCCGACGAACAAAAAUGCAAACAACUCAAAAUCAGAUUGUUCUUUGCAAUUGAAAUCAGAGAAGGGAGCAACCUUUAAUUUCUUUCUCAAUUUACCCUCAAUUUUUUAAUUUAGAAAUUGCAAAAUACAUGUCACAAUUAUGUAUAAACUAACACAUCAUUUAAAACAACACCCUCAGCAUGCCAUGUAAUACCGUCUUUAACGACGUCUUCUCAAUUUGAUGGAAAAUUUUUAUUUGGUUCAAUUUUACAAAAAUAAGGACCCAAUUGAGAUGCCGAAAAAAAAGGAACCUAUUUAAGAUUCUAGAUGAAAAUAGAAACAUAUGGUGACAUUAAAUCUAUAAGUUAAAAUCAUGAAUUGAGGUGUAUACUUUUAAAGAUUUUUAAUAUCAAACUAAAUCAUUUUUAUAAUACUCAGACUUAGUUUUUCAACAGUAAUUAUAUAACUUAGUAAAUUUUGUACAUUCACAACUUAGAAAUUGUACGAGUAAAUAUUAAAAAAGAUAUUAAUUACAAAUUGGGAGUAGUUUUUUAAUGUGUAAAUAGUUUUUUUUUUUUUUAUAGAGAACAUUAAUUAUAGCAAAAACUUAUAAAUACAUGUCACUAUAUAUACUCGCUAAAACACUGAUGAACUGACUCGCAUCUCAACCCAUAUUUACAAAAUAACUUAAAACAAACCCGUUAAGUAUAAGUAAAUUUGUAGAAACAAUUAGUUUUAUGCCUACUGGUGCUAAAAUAGUACAGCGACAUACACUGAAAAAUGUGAGCAGAAAAUAAACCAGAGAUUUAAACUUAUUAAAAUAUUGCUGACCUAGCAAAAAAACACCACGAGGAUUACGUAUAUGAAUCAAAUUUUGUAAUUAAAACAUUAUUUUUAGGAGAAAAAAAGGUUAAGGAAUAAUGAAUCCAACAUUUAUAAAAAAAGAAACUUUUACAAAUAAACUACAGAUAAUUAAAAUUAGAUGUUACUGAAUUAAUAGGGUAUACCAAUUAGGGAGAUAAUAUCUUGUUCUCUAGGCUUUAUUAUGUAAAUAGAAAAUGUACAUUUAGCUUUUCUUUUCACAUUUCCCUUUUACACCAUGUCAUGUCACUCAUUAUUUUGUAAAUAGAAAAUGUUUCUUUAUCUUUCUUCUUUUUAUGCCAUUAACCCUAAAAUUUAGUAGCAGUAUGUGCUUCCAUCCGAGCCAAUCAGUAGAUGCAAUGCAAUGGAUUCGCCAUUUUCGGAAUUCGGUGCCGUGACUAACGUUGCUUUGGUCUUUUCCCAUACCAGCAAAAACUGAACUUUGCUACAAACACUGCUACUACAGUAUUACUCGAAAACAGUGAUGUAAGUAACCCAUUCAAAACCUGUCAAUUUUGGUGCAGUAAAUACAAAGAGUGAAACUUUGACCAGUGCCUUGGCCUUAACCAUCCCAUUCAACUGUUACAAAAUCUACCGUCACAUUAUGCCAGGUUUGCUCAACGAUUAGACCAUCUACCACACUGCAUUAAAUUUUUCUCAACUACCACCGAACCAAAGCCUGUCACAACCACUUGUGUAUUUGUGCUCACAAAUUCCUUGUCAGAAGAGGAUCAUGUACAUGUAAAAUUAUGCAGAAAACUUUUUUUUGAGGAAAAUAAAAUUUUAACACCAUUUUUUGACACCAUUUUAACACUGCACACGUGUCAAAAUAUGGUUGGACGAUUUCAAAUUAAAAAACAAACUUUGGUUUUUUUCUUCCAAACAUACCCCUGUCUCAACUUUUUUAAUUUGAAAUCGUCCAAUCACAUUUUGACACGUGUACAAUGUCAAAAUAUUUUAUUUCUUAAUUUUUAAAUCACAAUAAUUAAAUUAAUUAAAGAAGAACAGAAGUCGUAACCAUAUUUAGUUACGAUGAUGGCCAACCUAAUAACUUCUUAGUACUAUCUCAUGCUCUAUAUAAACCCUACUCUUGUCCAACUUUACUUACCAAGCACUAAGCAAGAGACUCACCAAAACCAAACAUAUAUUGUGAUACUUUCCUUCUCAUUUGUUCCUCUGAUCUGUGGCGAUGGCUAGCCUGAAGGUUGCAUGCAUGGUUGCGGUGGUGUUCAUGGUCGUGGUGAGUGCACAUAUGGCACAUGCGAUCACGUGCGGGCAAGUGGCCUCUUCUUUGGCUCCAUGCAUCUCCUACCUCCAAAAGGGCGGAGUUCCGUCGGCGUCGUGUUGCAGCGGAGUGAAGGCCCUGAACAGCGCCGCAAGUACCACCGCUGACCGCAAAACCGCGUGCAACUGUCUGAAAAACCUUGCCGGUCCAAAGUCGGGUAUCAACGAGGGCAACGCCGCUUCACUCCCAGGCAAAUGUAAAGUCAACGUGCCCUACAAGAUCAGCACCUCCACCAACUGCGCUAAGUAUGUUCAACACACCACUUAUUUCCUCACACAUUUCUUUCACUAACAGCCUCAUUGCGCUAAUUACUCUAAUUAAUUCACAUACUCACAGGUCUUAGCUACUUGUGUUCUACUUAAUUAAACGGUUCAGAGUUUCUGAUGAUGAUACCCUUGUUAAAUAUAGUAACUUUAGAUCACAAUUACACUCUCUCUAAUAUAUCUCAACACAUUUCCAGAAAAAAGAAAACAUUUUUGCAGUUAGAUGUAGGAGAAGAGAUCAAUGGUUAAGGUGUCCACAUUUACUGUGUAAACGUAUUUUAAAAAUUAUUGCUCCUGAAAAUGCUUUCCAUUUUUUUGUUUAGUUGUUUCUUUUUACUAUCCAUAUCUAAGAAUUUGGAGGAGACUCUCCAAGGAAAUAUAUUGCUAAGAUGUUUAAAAUGUUGACUUUUUAUUUGUCAUUUAGCACUGCAUAAGAAAUCUGUUUAUAUAAACAAACGACAUAAAUAAGAAAAAAGAUAAUGUUUUGAAAGAUAAGGACCACAAAUAUGCAUUCUCAUUAAUUAGAGGACAGAGACUCUGUAAACAACAUGUUCAAUGUAUUACAGGAAAGACUCAGUUAACAAACUGACUUAGACUUAUGUUCUACUACUUUAUAGAUGAUAAACCUAAUGAAGUUGAGUUAUACCUGAAAGUGUAUUUAACCUCCUUAAUGGUUAGUUAAAAUUUCUUGAGAGUUUUCUGAUAAAUAGUUAAAAAUAUGUUGUGAAGUUGUAGAACUAGGAUCUUGCAUUCAUUUUUUAAGUAUGAAAGUUUGAUGGUUAUGUUUAAGCUGAUGUGUUUGAUGGUUUGUGAAAUAUUGCAGCAUCAAGUAAAAGAUGGAUAUGGUAAAAGGAAGAGAUGGCAAGGAGGGAAAUUUUUCAGUGGCAGAAUAUAUGAUAGUACCGUAGACAUAGGUAAUGAAAAAUAAAGGGAAGCCGACGAGGGCUCCACUUGUGCGAGUCUCUCUUGGUGUCGGUGUGUGUCCCUUAGUUGUUUCAAACGUUGUUCCACUUUUGUUAUGUCUUCUGAAAUUUGUCUCCGUCCGUUGGUUGUUUCAUGUAAUAAUGAUAUAUAUUAUAGCACUGUAAUUCCUUCCUACUUUUCCUUUUAUGAUUUUUCGUAUUGGUCUUAAUGGUUCUUCUCACCCAAUCUAUGUUU
rnacentral:lncRNA from 1 species